rnacentral:lncRNA from 1 species
UCCAUAUAUAUCUAUCUAUAUAUAUAUUUGUAUCUAUACAUAUAUUUAACAGAAAAUAUACUCUAGAAAAGUCCCACGCAGAUAUGAGAGAGAGAAAGAUUUAGCCAUUUAUCUAGGUAUACGUUAUGGAAUUAAAUUUCUAUGCAAUAGUUUAUUGUAUCUCGAACUAUAGCCAUGAGAUCAAGUAUAAUAAAAAAUAGAAGUAUCCCUCUAAUUAAUGACAUACAUAGCCACUACGAUCUAAGGCUAGUCUCAAUGUAUAGUUUCAUGACACACUUAUCAAGACUAUAAACUAGGUAACCGAGCCACAUGAGUUUCAUGGGGAUGAAACUAAUCUAUCAUCUGAUGAAACUCCUUCAUUUAAUAACCCUGUCAAAUCAGCAAUUUUGCUUAUGUGGCACCCUAUUUAAUGUGCUUGAUACUCUCAUAAAAUAUACGUUGAGACUGGCCUAAGGAACAAAAGCCGUCGGGUUGACCACCCGUGUGUCCUGUGAGGCAAGCAUUGCCACUCAUCUAUCUAUAUCUACGUUAAAAUAUACUUUGAGUUUGAGAAAAGUCUCACACAAAUUUAAGUAUCUCAGAAUAUGGCCAUGAGAUUAAGUAUAACUAGGAGCAUACCCCGCGCGUUGCUGCGAGAAUUGUAGAUUAGUGAAUUGUAUAGUAUGAUGAUGUGGGCUAUACUUAUUUGUCUUGUUGGCGUGGACACUACAGCUGUUAUGUGUGCUAUUGGAUUUUAAUUGUAUAUAUGUGGUAGUGCAUUGCAUGUUGAGAUAAAUAGUUAUUGAGGUUUUACUUAGUGGAUUUCAAUUCAAUAUGGUAGUGCAUUGCUUAGGUGGAUAGCUUACAUACUUAGAGAAAUAGUUAGUGGGGUUUAGGAUUAUAAGAGUUAUAGAUAAACAAAGAAUGUCCCUGGCUUCUAAUAUUAAUGACCUAUAUAGCCACUACAGAUGUAAGGGAUGAUGACAAAGGCCAAGUCAGUUCACUUGUGUGUACAAGCAUUGCCGCACAUAUAUUUAGAUCUAUAUUUAUAUCUAUAUAUUUAACAUAAAUAUACAUACAAAUAUGAGGAAAAAGAAAUAUUUAGCCAUCUAUAUCUAGCUAUGUUAUAAAAUAAAGUUGUUUUGCAACAAAUUAUUGUAUCUAGAACUAUAGCCGUGCAUGAGAUCAAACAAGUAUAUAAAAAAGAAUCAAAGCGUCCGUUCUAAUUAAUGACCUAUAUAGCCACUAUUAGGGCACUCACAAUGCAGACUCUAUCAUAGAGUCUAAAGUUAUUUAUUACCUCGAACAAUGUGGACUUAGAGUCUAAAUAAGACUUGGAGUCUUAUUUUUUCUACCUCUUUCUUCAAUAAAUAUGCUGCCACCUCAACAAAAUAUCAUAAAUAAUAUGUAAUUAAUUGUCUUAGACUCUGUGAUAGAGUCUUGCAUUGUGAAUGCCCUAACUAUAAGGCGAGCAUUGCCGCUUCAGAGGGAGAGAGAAAAAAUGAAAUUCUUUAUAUAUUUAUUUCAUUUUUAGAAAAGAGUAAAUAUUUCAUCUUCAUCUCUUGGCACAAGAGAUUUGGUUUAUUAUUACAAUGGUUUAAAUCAAUAUAAAUAGAGUCUAACUCAAUUCUAGCAUUAGAUAGUCAUCCAACCAAACAAAGAACUAAAUUACCACCAUUCUUAGAACAUGACAGAUUUAGAAGAUUUUCUCCUUGUUUUCUUCAUUGCACUGUAACAAUGCCUAAUGACGUAGCCAAUGUAUUCCCCUCAAUAAGACUUGCAAAAAAAAGAUUUGGGUCAGCAAUUAUCAAAAAAUCACUUUAUUCCUUGUAAGCCAUAUUUGUCUAACAAAUAAAUGACAACAUACCACCUAUUAAUAACAGGUUAUUGUUUGGUCUGCGAAUGUUUAAAACACCCAUGGAAAAGAUCAAGGAUAUUCACAGGAGGUUUAGACCUAAAACCAAAUAAACUGCCACAAAAGAAAUUUAGCAUAUUACAAUCAAAGAAAAGGUGGUUAAUUGUGCUUUAGAACUAAAACGAAAUAAACACACAAGAUUUGUUUCCAUUCCAAUUCCUUCUCGCUAAUUUAUCUUAAAUAUCACCCCUCUUUUUUAAAAAAAAUAACACAAAAAUUUAAUUUUUAGUUUCAUCUUUUACGCCUAAUUUCCUGAGAGACUUUGAUGUCCAUACUGAUAAAGUAUUAGUACAUGGAAUUGACUGUGAAGGAAUCAUUAUUUUUCAAAAUCCAAAAUGAAAUAUCCCUUUCAUCUUGUGUAGAAUAAUAUUCACAAUUUUUUCUACAAGAUUAUUCUAUUCUAAAAAUGUUGGAUACCGUAAAUCGGGGUACCCAAGCUAAUACUAAAAAAGCACAUGCCUCCUUUUCAAAACAAAGGUCGAAGCCCCAAAACACUUAGCCAUGGAAAAGGAGGACAGUUGGGCCGCCAAUGCAAGAUGGCACCUCCAAACUGGGCCGGAACAACUCCUCCUCAGCCCAAGACAGGCCUCGAGCGACAGGAUGAUCUCUCUGUCUCGCCGAAGGCUAAGCCCCGGAAGAUUUCUCCGCCUCGUCCGAGGCUAAGCCUCAGACGUCUUUAGAACAACAUCGUGACACUGUAAACACCAACAUAGGUUCUCCUUCCCUCCUCUUGAACUAUAAAAGGGGAGGAAGGGUUUCAUUUGGACAGGACACACCAUACAAACCCAACGCAUGAGCCAAGUCUCACACGUCACAACGAGCCGAGACCUGGGACAAGCUCCCUCUCUCGCAACUCGCUUGUAACCCCUACUACAAGCACUUUGUGUGCAGGAUAAUGCAAGACUCCUCUCUCACACUAGACGUAGGGCACACUUGGCCUGAACCAGUAUAAAUCUUUGUAUUCUUCCUAUAUCACCAUCUAGGUUAAGGGGCACACAGACUCGUACUACUCGUUAGUGCUUGGACCACGAGUUCAGACACUGACAGUUGGAGCGCCAGGUAGGGGCCUUCUGUGUGUGACAUCCCUUUUUUCCUCCAAGAAAAUCUAGAUGGCUCAUAGUUUCUAUCCACUCCGUCUCGGCAUGAUCAUCUGGUUUGGGAGAUUGGAGUUCAUGUCACUCGGUUCUGAGUACGACAUGGUCCUUCUCCCACCUACACAAUGGCUAAAGAGGGUGAAUAGCCUAUUUAAAUUUUCUACUAACUCAACUAGACAAAUUGGUUAGUAAAACAAAUGGUGAAGCUAUUCUAGCACUAGCACAACUAAUCUAUGCAAGCCACCUACACAAGUCUAGCAAGAAGGCUAAACACCAAGUCACAAUAACAAACUGCAACUAAGGGCUAGCAACAAUCCUAAACAAGAAGACUAUGCUACACAAGAUAAACAACUAGUUAGGUAUGCAAGGAAGUAAAGGAGUGGAGAGUGAUUCUUAUACCAAUGUUAUAGAGUAGAGAUAUAUCCAAAUAAUCACUCAAAUCACAAUCACAAGAGAGAAUCCUUAGCAAGAGAUGACACAAGGUUUUUUACCAAGGUUCACUUGCUUCUCGGCAAGCUAGUCCUCGUUGUGGCAAUACACCCACUUGAUGGAUCACAAGCUAAUUGGCAAUCCAAAGCCAAACCUUCAGCAGAUGCUGCACAUCCACUCACAAGAUAGGGAUCCUCCAAGCCAUGAGCAAUCUACUAGAGUAGCCAAUUGCGAUCUUUCACAAGAAAGGCUCAAGAACCUCUCACAAAUCACUUGGUGAAGCUCAAAAUAAUCUCCAAUCACGAGCUCAAUCUACUAGAGUAGCCAACUGUGAUCUUUCACAGGAAAGGCUCAAGAACCUCUCACAAAUCACUUGGUGAAGCUCAAAAUAAUCUCCAAUCACGAGCUCAACACUUUCGCUGCUCGACGCCGUCUAGGGUGUUGAGAAACACCUAAGAGUAACAAGAAAUCUGUAGCAAACUCAAAGAUCAAGUGCCACUAGAUGCAACUCACUAAGCAAUGCACUUGAAUCUCACUCAAUCUCACUAGGAUUAGCAAUCAAGCAAGGAGAUGAGUGGAGGGAGUGUUCUCUAGCUCAAAGAAUGUCUCACUUGUUAAAAGGUGCAAGUGCAAAGCCCCAAAGGUUGGUCACCUUCUAUUUAAAGAGGUCAGCCUGACAACUAGCCAUUAGGGUUUUCUGUGGGUGCGUCGGACACUCCAACGCCACCCCAUCGGACGCGGUUGAGCGUCCAACGCUCGCCUGCCUCGCUCGUUAGAUUGCUGCCACAUGUCUCUCUUUAAACAUGGACCGUUAAUCUCUAACGGUCACUAGACCAUUAUUGAUCUUUUAGAGCAUGCGUCGGACACAUAGAUGCUAGGCAUUGGACACACCACCUCACACCGAACGCUACUCAGAGAGGUCUACAAACUCGUAGGGCCAUCAACGUCCAACGAAGGGGCAUCAGACCCACCCUUAGCAUUUGGUGAGUUCACAGAUGAAACCCUACUACUAUAGUGUCGGACGCUCUGAUGCACAGUUCAAGUUGCGCCUCACUAUGCUACAUGCAUCAAACACGGGUCCAGCAUCUGAUGUUGUCUGACCCAGCAUCUGACGGUGUUUCUCGCUGAGAAACACUCAUGUGACUUUUCCAAAAACUUCCUCCAAUGCAAUGAAAAAUAUGCAUUUCAUUUUCCCGAAAGCGCUGCAUUUCAUUUUCUUGAAAGCACUGAAUCUCGCCUUGCAAGCUCGGCGGGAGGGAGAGAAGAACUCAAACACCUCUUCACCCUAGGAACUCCACCUCCUUUGCAAAUGUGCUAACACCACCAAGUGUCCACCACCAUUGUGCAUGUAUUAAGGAUGAAAACGGUCAAAAAAAUCCUAAAUUGUUUUCUACGUCUACAUUUGAAAUACGAAAACAAAAACGAAAAUGGUAAAGCGGACACAAAAAUGAACACGAACUUACGAAAUAUCGAGAAUUUCAAAAACGAACCAAUUCAAGCGAAUUAUGUCAAACACGAUCGAUAUACGAAAACUCAAUACGGAAUACCGACUCGUAGUACCAAGUGCAUGACUAAGCACAUGCACGAUCAAAUUCAAGUGCAUAUAAUAAUUAAUAAAUAUAUGGUCCUUAGUCUUAGGUAUUUAAUACAAUAACCCAUACAUAAGUAUAAGUCUAGAGCAAGCCAUUAAUAGCUAGUAGGAUAAUAAGAUUUAAAAUUAGAUGUAGCAAUUAACAUACCAUUUUAGAAUCUGAACUAAAAUUAAAUGUUCGUGAAAUAUUAACUUGAACUGAGAGAACAACACCUCAUGAGGUCAAAAGAAAUGAGACUCGGUGUCGUCCAUAAAAGAGAGGGCAGCUGGCCACAAGUAGAAAAAAACACAACUCCAUGGUGACCGUUGCAGUUGGCUAAAUUCGGUUUAAACUAAAUUUUAAAUUCAAAAUAUUUCAAAUUAAAAGUAGAAAAGUAGAAAACGAUCGAAAAAUGUCUAAACCGUUUUCUACUUUUAUAUUUGAAAUACAAAAAUAUCUAAAAUACAAAAACAAAAAUGAUAAAGUCGGACAAAAAAAUACGAAUUCGAUCGGAUGAAAUAUAGAAAACGAUGCGGUUCGGUUCAGGAUAUUUCCGUUCCAUUUUCAUCCUUAUCAUGUAUGUUAGCAUUUCACAAAUAUUGUCAUUAAAGGAGUUAGGUUAGCACUUUACUAUAUCCUAAUGCAUAUGCUCAAGAUAUGGACCUAGUAGCACUUGAUUCGAGAGAUGAUUGUGAUUUCUCCUCUUGAUAGUUGGCUAUCUAUCCUAAAUCUGGUAAAUCACUUCUCUACUCAACUUAGACCAACAAAAGCAAAACCCUAUGUUUAUACCUUUGUCAUCACUUUACUCCUUGUCUAUCACUAUGAUCUCCACUUCAUGCAUCAUCUCUUUGUGAUCAUGCGUCCACCACUCUAUGUCAUAUCUCUUCUUCAUCAUAUGUGUUACUAUGCCUAACUUAAAUCACUUCAACAUAAUGGCAUUAGCAACUUGGUGUCAUUAAUUACCAAAACCAAACUUGGGCAUUCACCGCCCUAGGCACUGGUGUCUCAAGGCCUUGAGGCCCUGAGGACACGGGGAGUUUCCUAGCUGCUCGAUCCUCAGGACCCUCUACAAUUGACAUGGGGGCACUCAUCACGCCCCCUACAGCCUACAACCCCUCUCCUAGGGCCAUUAGCCCCUCCUAGCUGGCGAUCCCCUCAUCUAGGGUCAUCAUCACCCAGUCAAAAUCAUCAUCUCCUUCUUCUUAUUCUCCCUCCCCCUCAGACAUAGAGGGAGAUGGAGAUUCCUCCUUUGGAAGGACAUCACGCCUUUGUUGGUGGUGGAGCUUAUCUUGCGCAGCCUUCUCAUGCAUUUUCUUGUCACGCUUUUCCUUGGCCGCAUUGGCCCUCCGCUUCUGUUCUUUGGUUGCCCUCUGGUUUCGGUCCCUCACCUCUUGGUCCUCUAGGACCAGAGGCUGAGAACUUUGAAACUGGCCGAGGUUCUACACAGAGGCUAGAAAGGAAGGGUGAACAGAAGAAAAAAGAAAUACUGGAAGAAAGGAAGAUGAAACUAAAACAAGGCUCUUACCUAGGAUAGCCCUCUUCAAGGCGCAUCUAGUGUGUCCUGAAGUUCUCCGCUAGGCCUAAUGACAUGGUGUAGGUCAUGUGCCUCGUGACCUCCGUGGCGGAAAUAGGCUCAGCAAACAUUAGGGCCCCCUCCAGAGAUGCUGAUGGCAUCAUUUGAUACAUGAACAGAGGUCGCAACGCCAGAGGGAGUACCCUCUGCUUGUGGAAAGUUGCCACCACACUGCCUGUGGUGAGACCCCUGUUCUGUAGCUUCUCUAGACCUACAAGCAGUGGGUCCAGUCUCCCUUGGUUCUCAGCAACGACCCCCCACUUCCAUUUCUCAGGCCUCUCCGUCACUACCUUCCCAGUGUAAGGGGGAGCCCAUUGAUGUCAUUCCAAAGAUAAAACUAGUCUUCCUCCCACCCUUAGUUUGAGGUCUAGAGAGAGGCAGGAAUGUAAAAUUGGGCCCAAUGCUGAUGCACUUGGAGCGUGCAGCCGCUGACCCUCAGUAGUUUCUAAGGGGCUCCCGUCCUGCCUGUCUUUGAGGACAUGUCCACGAAGAACAAAUGGAUCCAUAGGUCCCAGUAGAGGGUAUUCCCAGAAACCCCUCACACAUAGUGGAAAAAAUAGCCACCUAUGUGAUGGAGUUGGGAUUGAAGUUAUAGAGCUCCACCCUAUAGUAAUGGGUGAGAGCCCUCAUAAAUCGGCUCGCUGAAUCCCCAAAACCCUGGCCAUGGAACGCGAUAAAACUAACCACAUAACCUAGUGGCGGGUUAGGUUCCCUCGCGUCCAUGAUGGGGAUGAUCCACUCCGAGAAGUUGAGUUUCCAACGAGGAUGAAGAAGACUGGUACCGUCAACGCAAUCCUAUAGAGCCCUCAUUGAGACGUUGGAAGUAGGCCACGGGUCCGGAGCACCAAACACGGUGACAGUCCCCAUUCUCUCUCUUCUCUCCCUUUCUCUUCGGCAUAGGAAUGCAAGGGAAGCAAAGGUGGGGGAGACGAAGGAAAGAGCAGCAAAGCGCCAAGGGGAAUGAUCCAAGCACCCUCCCCUCGCUUAUAUAGAGCGGAGCGGGGAGGCCAACUGCCGUGAUGCAAUCCAAAGGGAACUGUCAGAUCCCACACAUUAAUCCAUCAUGGUAAACCACAAGCCCAUUACCCCCACUUCCUCGCUAACUGCACGCAUUAAAUACGAUAGGUGAAUCGUCUCAUCCACGUGUGACAGACGGUAGAGCCAUUUUGACUCCCUAAGGAACUGACUCAAAAGGAGCACCUGACCCUCCGAACCUGCAUGGUGCCUUCUAGGUAAAGGAAAUGUGGGCUCUAGCCCCUUACGGUCUAGGGGUUCCGAGGCUGGCCCAUUCUCUUGGGUUCGACAGUCACCCUAGGAUAACAGAGGGAGGGGUGACGGAGGACAAGCCCCAAUGAGGCUAAGGUCCGAGCACCAGCGUGUCCCAAUAAGUCAUGUCCAAGACCCAUGCAGGUGUCUCAAGAAUGGGAUCCCAUAGAGGGAGGCAUUGAGCCCUUUGAACCUACUAAAUGGUUCCGAGAUCCACCAAGACUACCCUCGGGUAUCAUAGAAUACGCCUAUGUGGCUGCCAGUCGACCCCUAACAAAUGGGGCUUGGGCUUCCACUUGGACCGACCCGAUGGCAGCUCACCGGGAGCACCAUAGCUCUCCCACCGAGGGUGGCGUGGCGUCACCCACCCCUCCUCUGAAUGAAAAGGAUGAAUGAGGGACACUAAAAAAGUCGGGAAGUCCUUGACUAACCCUUACCCAUGGGCAAGGGCUCAGGGGCUAUUCCUGCAAUAGGGCCAAAGCAGCUCGUGCAUAGAACACGAUUCUCCUCUUCGGGUUCCCCGCGUACCAAAUUAGCAAAAGCCCUUGAAGGGAUAGCCCAUCCCUUCAAGGCCUUGAGGGCUACAUCCUGCAGGUGCACUCGCACGCACCCAAGGGGAUAAAACCUCCCAGAGAAGAAAGCAACGACCUUGGAAAAAAUACCCCUAGUAAGAGCGGAAGAGCCUCUGAAGGAGUAACCAACUCCUCCACAAGCUUGGGGGCUAUAGUCGAGUACCAUAAACUGGGGUACCCAAACUAAUACCAAAAAAGCACAUGCCUCCUUUUCAAAACAAAGGCCAAAGCCCAAAAACACCUAGCCCUAGGAAAGGAGGACAGUUGGGUCGCCAAGAUGGCACCACCAAACUAGGCUAGAACCACUCCUCCUCAGCCCAAGACAGGCCUCGAGUGAUGGGAUGAUCUCUCCAUCUCGCCCGAGGCUAAGCCCCGGAAGAUUUCUCCGCCUCGUCCGAAGCUGUGCCUCGAACAUCUUUCCAUCUCACCCGAGACCUAAGUCUUAGACCGAUUCUUUCGACUCAUCUGAGCCCAUGCUCAGAUCCCCACCCCCCUAACACAGCACUCAGGCUUCUCACGCGCGGCUGCCGUACCACAAAUGGGACGUGAGACACAUCCUCGCACCCAUGUUGAGCAGGCAGUGUAUGGCGUUUGUUGUGCUGCCUACUUCUCUCACCACAGGACCUGACUCCUAUCACUAUGCGUACGGUCGGGUCAGGAGGAGUGGGCAAUAUCAAAACCCGAGUAUUGUAGCCACAAAACCCAUUAGCACUCCUGAAUAUGGAUUAAGGAAAGAGGCCUCGAGAGAUAACCCUAACGCAGAAUAAGGGCUCAGUAAGGCAGGAACAAGGUUAGGCAUAAAAUCUAUAACACCAGGUAUGGCUCGACAAGAACAACAAGAGAAACCACACCGUGACCACGAUCAAUCUACAGCAUUAGGGAUGGACCACCUCAACUCCCGUACGACACCAUGUUCUUAACCCACGCUUUAGAACAGCACCGUGACACUGUAAACAUCAACACAUGUACUCCUUCCCUCCUCUUGAACUAUAAAAGGGGAGGAAGGGCUUCAUUCGGACAGGACACACCAUACAAACCCAACGCAUGAGCCAAGUCUCACACGUCACAACGAGCCAAGACCUGGGACAAGCUCCCUCUCUUGCAAGUCGCUUGUAAUCCCUACUACAAGUACUUCGGGUGUAGGAUAAUACAAGACUCCUCUCUCACACUGGAGUAGGGCACACUUUGCCUGAACUAGUAUAAAUCUUUGUGUUCUUCCUACAUCACCAUCUGGGUUAAGGGGCACGCAGACUCAUACUACUCGUUAGUGCUUGGACCACGAGUCCAGACAUCGACAAAAAAGCUUAUUCCUUACUAAAGCCGAUCUAAAUGAUAUGUUAAUAGAAAUAGAGUAUGGUAGAAGCCAUUGAAAGCCCUAGUUUGGUUUUGGUAAUUGAGUGCCAAUAAGUGUCAAUCUUUAAUUGACUAAUGCUUGCAGUGAGUUUGUUUUAGCUAGGGUCCACUUGAUAGUCAUGAACAAGGCAUAGGAGAUGGUGGAGGUGGAAAUUAUGACCAUAUGUGUGCAAGUGUUCAUCCUUUGGAGAGAAGAUGGUAUGUAAAGCAAGCCCGAAGGCAAAUACAUUAUUAUGGUUUUGCUUUCACCAACCAAGGUGCAAUAGAGUGCACAUAGUUGGGUUUAGGGUAGAUAGCCAUAUUAUAAAGAGGGAAGUUCUUAAGUGACAGCGAUUAUCUAGUGCCACUAAAUGUGACUAACAUUUGCAUAUGCAUUACGACUUAGUGAUAAGGUGAGACUGCAAAAGGAAAAGCUUAGGAAAAUGUUAACUCAUAUGCACGAAGUGUUGGAACACUUGAAUGAAGUUAGCACAUUGAAACAAGCUUGGAAAAUGGAUUUUUAGGGGCUAUCUUGUGCCUCACCUGAUUUAUCUAGGGAAAAAGUCUAAUUUUCCUCCUAACUUUCACAAUAGUCCGUUUUUUCUCCCUUAACUCCAAAACCGGAUAAACCACCUCCCUAAACUUUUCAAACCUUGCAUUUACCUCUCUGAAGCAGUUUUGAAGGCACUUUUGCUACAGUGAAUGGUGGUUUUGCUACAUUGAUGGUGGUUUUGUCGUUUUAUUUUAGUUAUUUAUUUAUUUUGGCUUAAUUUUUUUAAAAUCAUAGUAAAUCAAAGAAAAAUCAUAAAAUAGAAAAUUCAAUUUUAUUGGACUCUACAUAAGUAGAUCUACAUAAUGGAUAUAUAAUAUGGUAUACUUUAGUACAAAGUUUUUUCUAUGAAGAUUUUGUCUUUUUCUUCUUAAUUUAUUUCGGCUAAAGCUUUGUAAAAUCAUAGUAAAUUAUAGAAAAAACAUAAAAUAGAAAACCUAAUUUUGUUAGACUUUCCAUGAGCAUAUCUAUACAGUCAAUAUAUAAUAUGGUAUACUUUAGUACACUUAUUUUUAUUGUAGCUUUAGAUCUGUGCUUUUUCUAAUUAAUUGAAAUAAUUUAUAGCGGUAACUUCUAUAAUUAUUUUGUUGGACUAAAGCAUACCAUAUUAUAUAUUCAUUGUGUAUAUCUACUCAUGUGGAGUCCAAUAAAAUUAGAUUUUCUAUUUUACGCUUUUUCUAUGAUUUACUAUGAUUUUUCAAAAUUCAGAUAAAUAAAUAAAGAAAGAAAAAGACAAAACCUUCGUAUCAAAAAUUUUGUACUAAAGUAUACCAUAUUAUAUAUUUACUGUGUAAAUCUACUCAUGUAGAGUCUAACUUUCCAUUUUAUGGUUUUUUUUUAUUUACUAUGAUUUUUCAAAGAUUCAGCCAAAAUAAUUAAAAAAACAAAAAAAAGACAAAACCACUGUCAUUAUAGCAAAACUAUCAUUCACUGUUGCAAAACUGCUCCAGAGAGAUAAAAUGCAUGGUUUAAAAAGUUAAAGAAGGUGGUUUGUUCAAUUUUAGAGUUAAAAGAAAAAAUAGACUUUUAUAAAAAUUAGAAGAUGAAAAAUAGACUUUUUCCUUUAUGUGGUGACCCUUUGGAGUUUGGCACGAGAUAACUAAUGAGGUACAUGUAAAAGCCCACACGAAGUACUGCUCAUAGGGUAUUUGGGCUGGGCUGGAGUGCCUAGCGGUUUGACUGGAAGCCCAGGCUAGUCAGCCCUGUUUGACGCACAGGACCAGGUGAGUUCAAAAACCCACGAACGCAUUAUUCGGUCCAAGUGGGCCAUCGGAGAGAUAGCUCGCACGAUUUAGUGCUUGGGCCUGCCGGUAGCAGCAAUGGCUGAAAAGUAUAUGUGUGAAUGUAGGCCGAGGCACGAUGGCUCGGCACAAAGUAUGCCAUUUUGGCCCGAUCCAAGCAUGGCACGGCCCAAUAGCCAGUGGGCCCAGACUGGCACGAUACGGUGGAGCAGGCCGUGCCUGGACCGCACUCCAGGCACGUGGGCUAGCACAGCACGGCCCGUAUUUUAUACAAGGCCCGAUGGAGGCCCGCUCCCUUUCACCAAACCAGCAAACCCUAUCUCAUUUGUUCACCCCAGUCGCCACUCCCCCCUCCACUUUUCCACGCGUCGCUAGGCGCAGCACCCGCACCCACGCCACAUCACCUCUCUCCUUCGUUAGCUAGGCGCAGCACCCACACAACAUGUGCUCCCCUUCUCCGCGACUCACCGACGGGGUGCGCCACCACAAGCUCCUCUCCUGCGCGAGGUCGCACCUCGGGAGCGAGCAGCGUGCCUAAGCUCCAUCCGGCUGCCGCCCCGAGCUUGGCCCGCCAAAUCCCCUCCACCUACUUGCUCUCUUCACCGGAUCCAACAUUGAGGGCCUCGGGGGAGAGCGCUCCGGUGGCCACUACCACCUCCCCGCCUCCCUAUGGCUCACCAGUCAGCGCUGCUGGCGAGCUGCCUCCCUUUCCCUAUCUCUAUGUCUCUGGCGAAGCAGGUCACAGGCUGGCCCAGCACGCUGAAUGAAGCGGGCUACUCGGGCUGGCCCAGCCCAAAAAAGGAACAUGACAUGUCGUGCCUCUGAAGACUAGGCACGAAGCACAUACAGUGCCCGGGAGGCAUGACGUGUCGUGCUGGCCCGACCUCUAUCGGGCCAUGCCUGGCACGGGCCCGUGUUGUGCUGAGCCGGGCUGGCCCGAUGGACAUCUAUACUGGAAAGACCACGGUGGGGUGCCGGUACCAUCUGACCGCUAGCACAGAGCGGGCACUGGAGUCGCUGUGUUGACUCAAAAUGUUUAACACAAAACUGGGGAAGUCUUCAACUCAAGUACAUGCAAUGUUUACAAUACUAAAAUCAUCCUUGAGUGGAGUAGGAUUUCAAUGGGACAUGAAAAUUGUUCAGAUAUGCUCAAAAAGGCUACUCUAGUCAAGAUAACAAAGAUCGUGAACACACACUUAUCUCCUGUUUUUUUAUGCUGUUCUUCCCACAGCAUAUUGUUUUUUUGAGGGAGAGCCACCAGCAUGCUGCUGUCUGGUCCUACAGACCAGCGCCAUCACAAAAAUGAAGCAGGUGCUAUAUGUAUGAACAUUGGUGUACAUGCCUCACAUGGAGUGUUUCCUUGGAUAUGUCAAAUAUAAAACAAAAACGGGCCUUCCAGCUUCACUUGCUGCGCUUCGGAUCAAACUCGACACACGUAUCCAUAGCUGUUUUCAUCUGUACUCAGGAAAGUACAUUGAUGUAAAAAAAUAAACUUGAUGAAUUAUACAAUGCACUUGCACUUUUGUGGACCAUGUGUACAAUAUGCAGCUGUUCUAGCACCAUGUACCGACCUAAGUUUUAGUUGAUAGAAGCUGUAUGCAAAAUACUGCAUCGAAACCCUUUUCCCCAUUUUUGAUCUAUUAGAUAUACUCUUAUAAUGCCUUGAUGCCAACUAAAUUCAUGCACAUUUACAUAGCAAUUAAGCUGCAGGAAAAUUCAAGUGUGAAUACCUGGAUGAUGUUGGUAACUUGUUUCACUGCCCAACCAACUAGAGUUGAAAUAAACACCAAGAGAGUGAGGGGACCUUGCUUCAGGACACCUCUGCAUGUCUGUUAAAAUGAUACCGGAACAUCACAUGUUAAGUAACUGCACUGGUCAAUUAAGGAGGGAACUAUAGAAAUGAUGGCAUCUUACACCAAGCAAGCUUGUCGAUUUCUCAUCAGCAAAGAGAAAGAGGAUAAUAUAUAAAACCUGUAAAUUUGGAGAAAUUGAAGAAUUAUGUGUUAGAGGGUGAAAUAUAAAGGAUUGCAUGAAAGAUUGCUGGAUUUGCUGAGUGCUAGCAUAUUGUUUAAUUCACUAAUCACUAUAAUGUUGAUCUCCCACAAAUUUAAUGUCUGAGCAUAUUGCAAAGUAUAAGUGAACAACUGAACAUACCUCACAAGAAACACAACAGAAUGCCAUAAAUGGCCUAUACCCAUAAUAUAAUUUCAGAAGCCAAUUGCCUGUGUUCUUUACAUCCUUGUGGCUAGUCUUACCUGACAGGAAAGAACUAGUACAAAAAAUAUAUCAUUAGAUAACUAGCAAAUAAUAAACAAGAAGAGAUUCUUAACAUAAGAAAUUCAUGUGUAGCGAUCAUGCAACAUAUGCACCAUGAAAUCAUCAGAUUAUUCUUGAAAAACUAAUUAUUCAGAUUUAUUAUGUUCCAUCUUCUGCUAUCAUUGAGAACAGGAUUACACACUGACUAGAAAAGAACAAAAUGGGAACUAGCAGGAAUUGAACAAAGUGGUAGCAAAAGUUAACCUGUACAUUUGAAACCAGUGGCUUGUAAUAUCCAACCCAAGCAGCAUCAAGAAAACUAAACCAGGUCUAUAAAAAUAUUUGAAAUUAGAAUUUGUACUAGGUAUCAAGAUUCAGGAAAAAUCAAUAUAAAAUGUUUUGCCUUCAUUACCUGUAACACUGUGAGAGAAGGGCCAACAAACAAGCAGUGCUAACCCUGAAGAGAAGGAAUGUGAACUACGAAAUUAAUUCAGGCUGCAGAAUGUAUUCACCCUGCAUAUACAGAGUUCAAUGAUUUAUUCAAAGAAUACCUAUCUGUAACCAUGUCCAACACAGCUCCGAAUGUAGAUGCUGAUUGAUAGAAUAAGAUAAACUGAUCAGACAAUUUCAGAACUUACCGGCAUAUAUAACCUUCUCAAAGUUCUUAAAACAUGAAAUUCAAUCAAUAUUUAUUCAUUACCUUGAUUAAACUUCCGUGCAAACCAACCAUCCACGCCAUCCAGGACAAAACUGAAAUUUUUGCAAGGAUAGAUAGAUCAACCUUUGCAUAUUAGAGUGAACAUACAUAGGCUGCAGAAAAGUUUAUGACAAUCACCUGAAGAAGUACAGCAUAGCAAAGAGGAGCCUGUUGGAAUAGCAAACAGCAAACGCAAUGAAAUUUAUGAUGAUCCUGAAAUACCCUGCAUGAUAGCAACUAUUGAAUGUCGAGUCCAAUAGAUUUGCAUUUUUAAGACACAUGCUAAAAGCAGAUUAUUUAAUAAAUUUUAUUCUUAGUUGAAAUCUGAACUUUAUUAAGUUACUCAUCCACAAACUAAAAGUAAAAACUUGAAUUCCGCAUGUAAAAUUAACAAAUUACAUUGAUGGGGGAACUAUGUGCUCCAUUUGCAUAUAUUAUUAAUGAAAUUCCAGUUAGAUCGAAACAGUAAGUGAACGUAAACAGACAACCAUUAGAAGCAUACCAAUGAUGUUAGGGAUGUACAGAUAAACUGACGGCAUUUUUUCUGCGGAUGACUGUGGCAUGGUGAAUCAGAACAGCUUGGAGACAAUCAAUUCUUCACUAAAAUUGAUGGUGGAAGUAUACUUAGUGGGAUUCCUGCAAGAUAAGAGAUGGAGGAGUGGCGGAGCUGGUCAAUAUUCACACCUAAGGCCAUUAUCCAAGUGUGUAUACCACCUGCAAGGAUCAAAUACAUACCACCCACAACAGGUCUAAUACUGGUAGAUAACAAAACAAGCUCAUAAAUGCAUAAGUUUAUAUUAGAUCAUAUCUCAAUUUCAUGCUUAGAUCUUCAGUAUACUUCAAAAAAAAAAUAGUAAAAAGAACCUAAUUAAGUUCGCCCUCACCAUUCAUAUUCAUAUAGCAUUUUAAUGUCAUGGUCCGUACAAUUCUAUAGUUCUAUACGAAAAUUGACAAAGAUAUAUAAUCAGACUUGUCAAAUGGCAAGUGACAUGAGGAUUUAUGGAUUGGGAAUUCAAUGUUGAAACAAAGAUUGGAAUUUGGAUUGGGAAUGGGACAUUUACCUUGCUGGAGACCGGAGUUGGGCCAUGCUUCUGUGUGAGUGUCGACCGGACCGGCGACCGCGCCCACGCCAUGCCCGGGCGCUGGGCUGCCCACUUCCGAUUUGAUGCCCAGCAGUAGCACCACUGUGGGCGAGGCUCCGAUUUUAUGCUCCACCGCCAAGUCCCUUUCUGAUCUGAUUCUCCAGCGGCUAGGGUUCGAAGCAGUACGACCAAGAGCGGCAGGAGAAACGAGAUCGGCGGCGGUCUGCGAGACGCGGACGGCCGGACGCUCCCCUGUAGUAAGCGAAGACGAUGAGAUUUGGAGAAAUAGAGCGACGCUUUUUGUUUUAAAAAAAUAUUUCUUUAUUAUUUUCUGCUUUCUAGAGUAUUUUCUUAAUAUGUCAAGUGGGUCCUACUUACUGCCAGUGGCAGACGGGAAGCAUAUGAUUCUGAUUCGUCACAAUCCAUCACUUUUUUUUUGGUUCUCUUUUUGCUAGGAAUUUCACAACCAGCGUUGAGAGUAUCUGAAUCUGAAAACUUAUCAGUGUACAGCUCACAAAAUCUCUUUGCUUAUAGGUCAUGCAUGAUCAUGAUAUCUUAAAUAAUUUGUUUAGGCCUUGUUUACUUCCACCUCAAAAUCUAAAAUUUUUCAAGAUUCUCCGUCACAUCGAAUCUUUAGACACAUGCAUAGAGAGACGAAAAUAAAAACUAAUUGCAUAGUUUGAUCGAAAUUUACGAGACGAAUCUUUUCAACCUAGUUAGUCUAUGGUUGGACAAUAAUUAUCACAAACAAACGAAAGUGCUACAGUGUCGUGAAUUUUUUUUUCUUCGGAAACUAAACAUAGUCUUAGGCGUGUUUAGUUCUGAAAAGAUUUCAGAUUUCGGUACUGUAGCAUUUUCGUUUUUAUUUGACAGACAUUAUCCAAUUAUGGACUAACUAAGCUUAAAAGAUUCAUCUCGUGAUUUACAGGCAAACUGUAUAAUUAGUUUUUCUUUUCGUCUAUAUCUAAUGCUUCAUAAAUAUGUCUCAAGAUUUGAUGUGACAGGAAAUCUUGAAAAGUUUUUGGUUUUUUGGGUGAACUAAACAAGGCCUUAGACUUAUUUACUAUUACUAGGAUUAUUUCCGUGCGUUGCAAACUUGCAACGCUAAAAAAUCAUGAACUUGAAAAAUACUCAUCCUUGACGUGUGUCCAAUGCCCUUUUGAUGACUGAAAUCUUAGGAAUUGUACGUUGUACAACAAGAAUGCAUAGUGUACAUAAAAACACUAAAGUAAUUGCUCAAAAAGAUGUGAUGUACAAUAAUAUCAACAACUACAACACUGAAAGUUUAUUUGCAUGGAGACGUCAUUACACUGCCCAAAACAGAUUUCAUCUUUAGGAAGAGCAUGCACAUAUUGUUCUUCUUGUACUGAAUAUUACAUAUAUUGGUCUCAAAAAAAAGAAUAUUACAUAGUCAUAUGAAUAUUCUAAACAACAAAAUUAUGAAUUAGUACAAUAGAAGGUACUACAUAUGAAAACAAAUAUUUCAAAACUAUCUGCAUAGUCCAAAGAACUUGAUAAAUAAAUCCUUCUAGAGCAUGUACAAUUUUCUAUAUUCAUUGAUCUUAGAGCAUCUCCAAGAGUUUAGCAAAUGACUUUCCAUCCAUAAUUUUUUAGCAAAAUAAAAAAACCCUCUCUAACAGAUUGGCAUCUCAAUUCCCCAUUUUGCUAACUUGGCAUCUUUCGCAGUCUAGUGCGCAAAUAUGCGCGCGGGCUCCGUACUUGGCAUUGGUCUUUCUCCUCAUGCUUAGCGGGGCUCUUCAUAUUGUUAGCGGGUUUUGUAACAGAACCGUCCAAAUUAUAAUAGAUUAAGUCUAAUAGUGACCACUUUCGUAGUCAAACCAUCGGACUUAAGCUCAUAUAAUCCUAGUAGUCCGUGAAAUCUCGAAGGAUCUCAGACUUUCCACUCGCACAGCUAAGAACGUAAUAAGUUCAGCGGUCGUCAUUCAUACAUUACAUAACAUUCGCAAAUAAAUCGAUCACAUCGGAGUUCAAAUAAGGUUAUUACAACAACAAGUCUUUAAGUAGUAGCGUUAUAGUGCCAGAGUCUGAUCAAUUCCAUAACAACAAAAAAGCCAGAGUGACCACGAUUUUGGUCUAAGCAUCUCCCAUAGCUGGGUAAAGACAAUUAAUGUAAUACCCAUAGUACAUCUAUAAAAGCCCUAGUUUGGUUUUUGGACAAUUGAUGAAACCUAUAUGUACUAACAUUUGUCAUGAGUGAAAUACAAUAAUAGAUUGGUACACACCAAGUGAUGGAGCUAGAUAAUGAUCAUGAUGAUGGAAGUGAUCAAAAGAUGAUAUUCAAGUGCUCCAACUUGAUAAAAAGAAAGAGAAAAACAAAAUGGGCUCAAGACAAAGGUAUUUUUAAUAGGGCCAAUUUAUUUUGUCACUUAAGACACCAAGUGGGUGUGAGUGAAUUUAGGAUAGAUAACCGUACUAUAAUGAGGAGAAAUCUUUAGUUGCAAUGGUUAUUUAGUGCCACUAAGUAUGAGUCUCAUUUGUAUAUGCAUUGCGUUUAGUGACGUGGUGAGAAGCAUGCAUGAAAAAGUCUUUUAAAUAUUUGUGAAAAUCUAAUCCUUGCUAAAACGAUGUUUGGCAUACUUAAUUUCCCAUCAUCUGAAAUUUUGAAUCAUAUAGUGAACUGGGGUCCUAUGGAUACAAAGACUGUGAAAGGGAAAAUUCGAUUUGAAAAAGGAGUUGAAAAUGAAGUGUAUAAAUAUGAGAUUGAUAAGGUAUGGGUUCAGUUUCGUGGCUUACCAAAAGAACUACGAGAAUUUCCUAUUAUUUGGGCAAUUGGCUCAUUUAGGUGUUUCUCGUGCUGUGGACACAAAAUUCAAAAAAAAAUUCGGGCGGUCAAGAAUGAAAGUAGCUGUACUUGAUCCUGAUCUCAUCCCGGACCUAGUGGAUGUAGUUAUAGGGGAUUUUGUUUAUGAGCUACAAUUUCGUGUUGAGAAAGAUACAAGAAACACAUGGCCUUUUAACGUUCAGUUACGUCACAAUAUAGAAUUUAUGUUACAAAUUAAGAUUUGUGACAUCAAGUUGACAAAAACCAAAACGUGGAAAAGCCCGCGUCAUAAAAUGAUUAUGUGACAUUUAUUUGAUUCAUGUCACAAGCAUAUGACAUUGGUUUAUUGUCACAAAAUCGUAGGCUUUGCCACGUGGCAGGUGACAUGGCAGAGAGAAAAAAUGUCACAAAAUGAGUUUUGGCCCACUAAAGCCCACAUAGCUCAUGGGCCUGAAAUCUAUUUGGAGUAGUGUUAGCUGGUCCAUUAUUUUCAAUUACAACCCAUAUAAAUUUCGAGCCCACAAUAAUUUAGCCCAAAUAAUUAUUUUUGUCCUCACAAUGCAGCCCAGCCCACAUAUUUCAGGUCAUUUUUUUCCAAUCCUAGAAAAUUCAGCCCAUACAAUCUAGUCCGCAAAUUCAGCCUAUUUUGUUUCCAGCCCACACAAUUCAUCCCAUACACAAUAUUUCAUCAUAUGCAAUUAUAUCCAUAUCAUUUUUCAACACAUACCAAAUCAGAUUCAAAUUCAAUACCAUUACAUUCAUCCACAAAUUCAUUACACAUCAGAUAAGUCUCAAGUCUCAAAUUUCAACUUGCUGGAACAUAAGUGCAAUAGCAACACAACUGUAGCAACAGCACAACACCCACGGCAGUAGCAGCACAUCUCUCUGGACUGCAGGCCGACAUUGCAAAGAAACGUUGAUUUCUGCAGAACAUGAGCUAUAGCUUGGAGAGGAGUGUUCGAACCUUUGCCUUCUUUUGUUGGUUCAGCAACAUAAGUCUCCAUUUGAGCCUAGCAACAAUAAUACCAAAUAAUUCAGAUUUCUAUACUUGUGUCUAGAACAUUCUAUGUUUGUGAGUACAAGUUAUUUUUGGUAGAAUGCUAUGAAAAUUUGGUAGUAGUCUACUGGAAACAUAUGCUAGCUGUUGCAAUUUUUGUAGAUUUUAUGUGCACGCUUAUUAUAUGUUCACAAACAGGGGUGAAGCUAGAAAAAUUGGUCGCUGGGGUCAAUACUCACAGUAGUAACUAGUAAGUGCUAAGUCAUAGGUUACAAUAAUAGGGUUUUUAAUUUUGGUAUUGCAAAAAUUUCCGCCACAAUAGGAAGUCAGUCAGUCACCUGUUGUUUAAUAUCACUUGUUGCUUAUUGUCCUCCUCAAGUUAAGACAUCUGAAACAACACAAUUAGUGUUAAAUAUCAUAUGCAGAGGCACACGAAAAGAUUUUAAAACUACUGCAGACAUUCUAAUGUAUAAUUUAAUUAUCAGAUGAAUUAAAUGAAAAGCUCAAGGAGGUAAGUUAAUUUAUAUUUAACUAUCUAAUGUACCAACAUGUUAAUUGUGACAUAGGCUGCUCUCUACUAAUUCAAAACAAUGUAAACUAAAUUGCCUACUUAUCUCUGUUAUUUCAGUACACUGUAUUCUAAAUAGCUGUAAAAACAUUCUGAAACAAGCAAUUGUCGUUCAGUGUGUGUAUUCUAAAUGCUAGGAGAUCAACUGUAAUCAAUUUAACAAGAAAAUCAUGUCAGCAGUAGAUCAAAUGCUCAAGUAAUUUCACAUAUAACUUAAAUUGGCAAACUCAGUUCAUUAUAACUCAACUGCUCAUGGUAGAGUUAUCGCCUUUGGACAGUGCCUGUAUUCUAGCUAUCCAAUCAUGGGCAAUCAACAGUACUCGGAUGAACCUGCUAGCAGAUAAAAGAAUCAAAGCCUACUAAUGGACCUGCUAAUUUAAUAUGAACUAAUACUAAAAUAUUUGAAGGACAAUAAACAUUAAACAAUGGAACUGUUGUUCUAUAUAUGAAGUAGCAGGCAACCUAUUCAAUUUGCCAAAUAAAACAAGAGAGGGAACAGAGGCAGCGGCUGAGCCUGCUCGCUGUGAGAGGGAACUGAGGCAGCGGUUUACUAAAUGCAUGCAAGAACCUGAGGAGUUAGGAAUCGUGAUCUGGAUCCAAAGAAAGAGCGGAGACGAACUGAAACUGAAACGACCGUUCUAAUCGUAUGUUCUAAUCCAUGGUCGGAGGAAAAUAGUAACUCCAGAGGACACUAAUCACUAGUAACUGAAUUAGUUCAAGAACACGAAUCACUAGUACUACUAGUAAUAACUAGCUUCCUCCUAAUCAAGUUUGAUGGCAAGCUGAGUAGUACAGAGUACAGGUAGUACUAGAGAGUUCGAGUAGUAAUAACUAGAGAGAAAACCAGGACCAGUUGGAUGGUGGAUCUGGAUCAGGCGGCGGGGAUAGAGAUGCAGCAGCAGGCGGGGCAGCGGACGAGCCCGUUCUCGUUGCACUCGGUGCAGGCGUGGAACCCGCCGCCGCCCUUGAGGCUGUACCGCUUGUGGCUGCCGUCGCAGGCGCUGCACAGCACGUAGCGCUCGCCGCCGCAGCGGGCGCAGUUGCCGGGGAACGCGGGGUUGGUGAGGGCGGGGGCGACGAUGCGGCGGAGCUCGCCGGACUCAUGGAGGCGCCGGACCUCCUCGGCGCCGCUGAGGUAGCGGCCGCCGACGAAGACCUGGGGCAGCGCCAUGCGGUGACGGCGCUGCUGCUGCGCGUGCGGGUGGGGGAGGACCAGAGGAGCGCGGCGAGCUCGGGAAGGUAGCCGGGGUCUGCAAAUUCGGCAGCAGACGCCCAGCGUCGGAGGGGUGGGCGGCGGCGAUUGGUGACUAGGGUUUGGGGGGACACUUUUAUAUGACUGCGGCAUAACCCACACGCUAUUGGGCCGGCUGAAAGGCCAACACAGCCCAGGCCCAAGUUGGCCGCGCGUAUUCAAAUUUUUGAGUUGUUCAAAUGAGCUCAUAUAAGAAAAUGACUCAAACCAAAGUUGUAUAUCUUGAUGAGAUCUAAACCUUUGCAGUUGAUAAUUUUUUAUUUGAAUUGAAUUUAUUUAUAGUCUAAAAAUUAUGAUUGAGGUUCUCAUAUAAUGAAAUUCAAAUGUAAUAACAUCUAAAGUUGGUUGGAGAAAAAUACAAACUUGCAUGAAAAUAUGAUUUUGGUGUAUAAUCAUUUCAUAGAAAAAAUAAAUGGUUUUAACAAAGUAGCAAUGCACAUUGUUCAAAAUUCGUAUCUCUCUCACGUAGUUAUAUACAUAGCAAAUUAUAACUAUGUGAGUUAUGUUUAUUUGUGAACAAUGUGUAGUACUUUUUUGUUAAAAUCAUUUGAAAUUUUUAUAGAAUGGUUAUACACCAAAAUCAUGUUGCUAUGUGAGUUUGUAGAUUUUUUAAACCAAUUUUAGAUAUUAUUACAUUUAUUCCAUGGUAAUUCAACAAAUAAUUACAAUAAUAACUAAAUUUGGUCUGAAAUUUUUUUCAAUUGACACACCAAUAUAUUUUUGGUCCAUAAGCAUUCCAUAAAAAUUUCAAGCAGUUUUAAUAAAGUUGGACUAUAUAUCCUUCACAAAUAUAAUCAUCCCUCACUUAGUCACAUAACAAUUUGUGAGAUGUAUCUAUUUUGGCAUGGCAAAUAAUUACAGGAAACUAAACGAUUUCAAACAAAAAUGUUAUCAACAACAAAGUUGUAGAGCCAAUAAAGAUCUACAACUUUUGUUUUACCCAAGUUUCCACCAAACUUUGUCUGAACAAUUCAAAUUUUAAAUUUCAAAAUUUAAGAAAUUCGAAUAGAAUUUUGGGGCUAGUAAAUGAUUUCAAAUGAUUACAUGAAUUAGAUUUACCCAAACUUUGACGAGAUUACAUGAAUUUUUUUAGAUUUACCCAAACUUUGACGAAAUUGCUGAUAGUAUUUUUUAAAAAAUUAAUAAAAUAAUUUGUGACACACAAACAGGCCUUGUGACAUAAAAAAUAUUGUCACUAGAUAAAAUCAGACUUGUUAAAUGACAUUUAUUGUGACAUACAACUUUUAAUUGUCACUAAGUCACUAUGCCUAACAUAUAAUGUCACAAAAUGGAUGAUAUAAUAACAUUCUUAUAAUUGUCAUACUAAAAACGUUAAAAGCCAUGUAUUUCUUGUAGUGGAUAUGCUGAUUGGUGAGCCAGAGGUAAUUGAUAUGAACACCAAUAUGGAUGAAGAUAAACCCGCAGAGGAUAAGAAACCUGAAAACAUGGAUGAAGAUGGCAAAAAGUUUGAGGAGCCCUUGAUUGACCAUGCAUCUAAUGAGCUACCAGCUGGUCCAGGUGCGGUAGGAGGACAGCAGCAGGCUCUUAGUGAGGUUGUCCAGCAAGAUGUAGUGGGCAACGCUCGUUCUGAUUUAGCAAAAUCCAGGAAACCAGCGGUAGUUCUUACUCCAAUUGUGGUGACAUCAACUGGAACUGCACAAUGGAAAGCUGAUCUGAUGCCUACCCAGUUUAACUCUGGCCUCCUCAGUAAGACUCAGGUUCACAAUGGUGGGACAGUUUCGCAAGUGAGAGCUAGUAAAAGGAAUGCGACAACUUCAGAACAAGACUCGUUGGAGAAGGCAACAAAAUUAAAAGCCCGCAGAAACUUAGACUCUUCUUCAGCCAAAGGUAAAGAAUCUCAACCCAUGUCUUUUAAUAUUCUUGAUGAUUUUGAUCUUUUAGCUAGAACUAAUUCUUUUGGGGUUAUUCUUGGCAAUAAUGAACAAGAAGUGUUGUGUUCUAUUAAUAAUCUUAGAACUUUAGAACGUCAUAGACUCAACGAGGUUGACCAUUUAGUUGUUGGUAAUAAAUGUAUCUUGGAUGAUGCUUCGACAGUUUGUUCCCUAGAGGAUAACUUGGAAUUAGAAGCUUUGAAUUUUAUUUGUUCUCAAAUCUCUGAAGGCCUAGGUGAUGGGGGCUGUGAUCCUUUAUGUCUACAGACCCCUGUAUCACAAACAACAAAGGCAAGCUCUAAGAAUAGGGAAAAAAAGCUAAAAAUAAGGUUAAAUGAAAGGAAUUUUCUGGAAUUGCAACGGUUUUGCAGAUACUAAGAAGUAUAGAUUUUUAUCCGACCUAACAAAAGAAAAGAACCUAGAUUUUAUUGCCUUAUCGGAAACCGGUAGAGCUAGUUUUCCGCAAACCACUUUAAAUAAUAUCUGUGCUGGUAGAGAUUUUCUUUGGCAUUGCUUGGCUCCACGGGGACGGUCCGGUGGCAUGCUUCUAGGAAUAAACCUGGUAACUUUUGAUAUUGGUGAAAUUGAGGAAGGGGACUUUUUUAUUCGUUUUAAAGUGUAUCACAAGGCAGAUGAUUUUAAGUUUAACUUGAUUUCGGUUUAUGGGCCGGCUCAAGCGGAUCAGAAAUCAAAUUUCUUGUCUAAAGUAGUGCGUUUAUGUUCAAAAGAAACCUUACCUAUUGUUAUAGGUGGUGACUUGAACAUUAUUCGUAGACCUGACGAGAAAAAUAACAGCAAUUAUAACGAUAGGUGGCCUUUUCUUUUUAAUGCAGUAAUUGAUGCACUGAACCUCAGAGAAAUAGAAAUGUCAGGUAGAAAGUUUACUUGGGCUAAUCAUCUACAAAAUCAGACUUUCAAGAAAUUAGAUAGAAUUUUAGUUUGUACAGAUUUGGAGUUCAAAUAUCCCCAUACCACUGUACAUGCAUUGUCUAGAGAGAUAUCUGAUCACACUCCGCUGCUAUUGAAUACAAAUAAUCCAUAUUCAUCUUACCAGCCCCAAUUUAAGUUUGAAUUGGGAUGGUUGCUGAGGGACGGAUUUUGUGACAUGGUAUGUGAUGUGUGGCACAGUGUACUCGUUGAAGGCACCCCAUUAGAGAGGUGGCAAGCUAAGAUCAGAAGGUUACGCCAAUACCUUAGAGGGUGGGCAAAAAAUAAGUGGUGCUUAUAAGAAAGAAAAACAGAUAUUACUAGAUAAACUUGGCGAGUUGGAUAAAAAGGCAGAAAGCUCUCUGCUUCAGGAAACAGAAAUAAAUUUAAAGCAUGUUUUACAUGAAAGGUUAGCUGAUUUACUUUGAGAGGAGGAACUUAAAUGGUACCAAAGGGCUAAGGUGAAAUAUUUGCUGGAGGGUGAUGCAAACACAAUGUACUAUCAUCUGCUGGCAAAUGGUAGACACCGCAAAACUCGUAUUUUCCAGUUGGAAGAUGGGAACAAUAUAAUCAACGGUGAUGCUCGACUCAAAAAGCAUAUUACCAACUAUUAUAAGAAUCUGUUUGGUCCACCAGAAACUUCUUCUAUAUUCCUCAAUGAGUUACAAAUUGAGGAUAUUCCUCAGGUUUCUGAACUAGAAAAUGAGUACUUGACAGAUGAAUUUAUGGAAUCUGAAGUGAGGGCGACAAUUUUCUAAAUGGAACAUAACAAGGCACCUGGUCCAGAUGGAUUUCCAGCAGAGUUUUAUCAGGUCUUCUGGGAUAUAAUAAAAGAAGAUCUGAUGGCUCUGUUUAAGGAAUUUCAUCAGGGAAAUUUGCCUCUGCAAAGCUUAAACUUUGGAACCAUAAUCUUAUUACCUAAAAAGAAGGACGCAAAAGUGAUUCAGCAAUACACACCAAUCUGUUUGUUUAAUGUCUCUUUUAAGAUCUUCACAAAAACUGCAACCAAUAGACUAAAUACUAUCGCACAAAAAAUCAUUAGACCAACCCAAACAGCCUUUCUUCCGGGUAGGAAUAUUAUGGAGGGCGCGGUAAUCCUCCAUGAAACAUUACAUGAGCUACAUUCAAAAAAACAGGAUGACAUUAUUUUUAAAAUAGAUUUUGAAAAGACCUAUGAUAGGAUAAAAUGGAGCUUCCUACAACAAACGCUAAGGAUGAAAGGGUUUUCACAAAAGUGGUGCACCUGGGUUGAACAGUUUACGCAAGGUGGAAAUGUUAACAUUAAGGUUAAUGACCAACUAGGAUCCUACUUCCAAACAAAAAAAGGCUUACGGCAGGGUGACCCAAUGUCACCGAUACUAUUUAAUAUAGUGGUGGACAUGUUGGCCAUACUCAUUGCUAGAGCAAAGGAAGCAGGUCACGUAGAAGGGGUUAUUCCACAUCUUAUUCAAGACGGCCUAUCUAUUCUCCAGUAUGCAGAUGACACGGUUAUCUUUAUGAGCGAUGAUGUUGCAAAGGCGGUAAACAUGAAACUUAUACUUACUACCUUUGAGCAACUAUCAGGGCUUAAAAUAAACUUUCACAAAAGUGAAAUAUUUUGUUUUGGUAAAGCUAAAGAGCAUGAGGUGUUUUAUUCGCAGCUGUUUGGUUGUGAUAUUGGGAAUUACACCUUUUGCUACCUGGGCAUACCUAUGCAUAUGAGAAAAUUAAGCAAUAAAGACUGGAAAAUAAUUGAGGACAGAAUUCAAAAUAGGCUUAAACUCGGUUCUUUCUAGUCUACCGAUGUUUAUGAUGUCUUUUUUCGAGCUCCCAAGAGGAGUGCUAGAAAAAAUUGAUUGUUUUAGAUCGAGAUUCUAUUGGCAGAAUGACCAACACAAACGCAAAUAUAGAUUAGUUAAAUGGGAAAUUUUGUGCCAACCAAAAAUUCAAGGUCGUCUAGGAAUUCAGAAUCUAGACAUACAAAACAAGUGUUUGUUAAGUAAAUGGCUUUUUAAAUUGUUAAAUGAAGAUGGUAUGUGGCAGGAACUUUUGAGGAAUAAAUAUAUCAAACAUAAGACUGUAGGAAGUUGUGUCAAAAAACCAACAGACUCUCACUCUGGAAAAGCUUGAUGAAUGUUAAAGACACUUUUAUGAGUUUUGGUUCUUUCAAGGUGAAAGAUGGUAUGCAAACCCGGUUCUGGGUAGACACGUGGUUGGGUAACCAGCCACUUAAAGAUAAAUUCCCCGAGUUGUUCAAUAUUGUGAGAAGCAAACAAGAUUCGGUGGCAAAAGUACUUAGCUCAAUCCCACUUAAUAUUUCUUUUCAUCGGAAUUUAGUGGGAAGGAACCUAAGGGAUUGGCAUAGAAUUGUUGCCUCCUUACAUGAUGUGAACUUACAAGGGGACAGGGAUGUUUUUAUUUGGGCUUUACAUUCAUCAGGAAUUUUUUCCGUCAAAUCUAUGUAUGCUGCGUUGGUUAACAGUGGGAUUAGAGUGUCUCAGGACAUUUGGCAAAUUAAAAUUCCUACAAGAAUAAAAAUAUUCUUGUGGUACCUAAAGAAAGGUGUGAUUCUAACCAAAGAUAAUCUGGCUCGAUGCAAUUGGAAUGGUGAUACGAGGUGUAGCUUCUGUCACUCACCAGAAAGUAUUCAACACCUUUUUUUUUAGAUUGUUUCUAUGCCAAAUUCUUGUGGCGCGCUGUACAUUUAAUGUUUGCGAUAUCACCUCCCAAGAGUAUAGAUGACUUGUUUAACAGGUGGUCCAAGACAGGUGGUAACAAACAUAAUUCAUUGUUGCUAACUGCAGCAUCAGCUUUGUGUUGGGCAGUUUGGAUAAUAAGAAAUGAAGUGAUUUUUGACAAAUGUAAACCAAAAUCCUUUUUGCAGGUUCUUUUCAGGGGAACCCACUGGCUCCGCCAAUGGACAAGGUUGCAGCGGUGUGAUGUUCAACGAGACCAGCUGAUCCUUGCAGGGCAGCAUCUAGAGACAUCAGCCUUGCAUUUUUUUGCUUCCAAUGGAUGGUUGUCAAAUAGGUCUAUUGGUAUUCUUUAGACAAAAAAACUUUACUUUGUUCUUUUUUGUGGAUCGCUGUAAGAUGUUUCUUCUACAGCUUGUGUGCUGGCAUAUGGGCCGAACCUUGUAAUAAUUGGCCUGACUCUACCUAUUGGUAGAUGAAGCCAGGUAUGAACUAUCCUUUAUCAAAAAAAAAGAAAAGAUAGCACUUGUAAAAGGUUUGAAAAAGAAAAGAAAAAUAAAGCUUAGGGACUUGUGCAGCAGCUGUGCACUGGUCGCUAGUGAGCCAGCUCGUCGUACUACCCAGGAGAGUGAUGUGCUUAGGAAGCUGGGAGCCUGGGCAGUGCACCAUGUUGGCAAGUGGAGAGGCGUUCAUGCUCGGCAGGUUUGUAGGAGGUAAUAAUUCAAGGCGUGCUUGCUGUGCUGCUACUUUUAGCUGCGCAUGGGCUCGCUUGGCUGUAUAGAUGGCCAUCGGGCCGGGCCGGACACAGGCUGUAGCGUGCCGUGCCGAUUUGACCCGCGUGCCUGUCGUGCCGUGCCUCAGCAGCCCACGUGUCUGGCCUUUGGCCUAAGCACGGGCCCACGGGCUGACUUCGUGUCAUGCUGGCCCGCGUAGCCCGGCGGGCCGGGCCGGCCCACAGCCCAGUUUUGUAAAAAAACAAAAUAACCAUACAAUGACAAUGAUCAUUUACCAACAUAAUGUCACAAUUAAUUUUUUACAACUUUUAACUUCUCAGAUUCACAAUCUCAGUCUUAAAUCAUAGAAAUAACAUCAAAAAACAUAUAACAUAAAAAUAAGUUGUUUGUGCAAUGCCCGCGGAGGUGGUACCAGGACGUUAUCGGGCUAACCCCUAAAACUCGUGCCGGGCCAUGCUAGCCCGCAGGCUCAGAGGUCGGCCUAAGCACGGCCCGCACCACCGGGCCGGGCUGGCCCUGUAACAGACCGUCCAAAUUAUAAGAGAUUAAGCGUAAUAGUGACCAGGAACGCGGACUUAACGUCCAUGUGAUGGACUGCCCAUCCCUCGCAAGCAGCGUGUGCCAGGAGUAGUCGCACAGACUCUAGGCGGGCGACCGGUGCGAAGACUUCGUCGAAAUCGAUCCCCUGCCUCUGGACAUAGCCCUUCGCCACGAGACGGGCUUUGUGCUUGGUGACGAUGCCGGCUGCGUCCUUCUUUGCCUUGAAGACCCACUUGAGGCCGAUGGGCUUGGCGUGAGCCGGUGGAUCCACCAGCUUCCAAGUGCUGCUGGCUUCAAUGGAGGUCAUUUCGUCGAGCAUGGCAAGGCGCCAGCACUCAUGGCGCACGGCUUCUCCGAAGGAGGUUGGCUCGGCGUCGCUUGCCAGCAUCAGUCGCUCCUCCAGUUCGCGGUGAGCGAGUCCAGGCGUCGGGGCUCCUCCCAGUACGUUGUUGAUGCGGUGGAAACGGAGAGGAGCGUCGUCAUCAUGAUCGGCGUCGAGGUAGUCCUCCACCUCGGCUCCUGGUGGAGUUGCGAACUCCACCUGAGGGUGUGCUGUGGAGCCGGAUGAUGGCUGCAUGCCGGAGGUCGCUGGAGAGCCGAACACGGGCAUGCUCGGUGCUGGGGACACAGUCGCAGCUGAUGGAGCCAGGGACGUCGAGCCUGACGAGGGGGUGACCAUGGUCGUCUGUCACACCCGGAUGUAAAAGAGCAUUCGGAUGCCAAAUCACAUGUGCGCCAGGAUCUCAAAUUCACACACAUGGAUCGACAUCAUCAAUGGUACAAAACACAGUGUUCAAAUGAAUUACAAAAAUUAGAGUAAAGUACCAUUAUUACAAGCCAGUUGAAUAUAAAAGUACGAACAGAAAGCAUAAUUUAGAUUGUUCCAUGAUAAAAGGGGAAACUAAACGCCGACGUAGCAGGACCACCUUGCCACAGAAAGAUCGACGACAGAACCACACGAGCCUAACAACCAGGCGACUCAGGGUAGUCCUUAGGGAAAUCACAAUUGUACUCCUGAUCGUUCGAGCAACCUUUAAUGAUUAUAGCAAGGGUGAGUUCAUGUCGAACUCAGUAAGCACAGACGGAAAGUAAUGACAUGCAAGGCUUAAAACAAGGUAAAGCUGACUUGGUUUGACUGCGGUAGCUUUUUAGUUGAUCACUUUUAGAUAUAACUCUAUUAUUAGAACAACCUACUACUUGAGUAGCAUAAACCCAACCCUUAAUUAGUGUAAGUAGUAAUUAGCAUCUUUUAAAAGACUAUCCUAAUAGUUAUUGCAGUCUAGGGAUUAACCCCAAUUAUUAACACAGGAUAGCAAUCCUGCCAACACGGAAUAGUCAUUUCGCCAAAACACGAAGUAGCAACCUCGCCAAGUUCCAUCAGCAAGUAUCCAGUGAAUCCAAUUUGCUCAUCAUGUGAGAGUCUGGGCCGCUCGUGACCAUGAGCACGACUAAUAUAUCAGUUUUACACUCUGCAGAGGUGUGCACGUUCACUCUAAGUCGUGAUUCUCAUUUGCCCGGGGUCAUGACUCUCCAAAACACUACCAAGGUGAGCAGGCAGGGUCUCACUACGAGACCUUUCACAGGGUCCAACUAAUAGGAUGCCACUCACAAGUUUUUGCCAGGGCGCUCGGCAGUCGAUACCCAUAGCCAUGGCGUACCGAGCAACCGACGACUUAAUAUUCAUUACCCAAGUUACUUCCUCACGCCUACCUAGAAAGUAACACCCUACUAGUGGAGGUCUUGCUAAUUAGUCAAGCCAGAGCCAUAUGGCUUGGAGCUGCACUGUAUGUCCGAGGAGGCCGCUCCAUGACUAAGUCCUUACGGAGAGCAGAGACGGGUACGCCCGGCAACCGGACCACCAACAGUUCCCGCUCCCCUGUCACCACCAUCAUCACGAUGCUCGUAAGCAUCCAACAUCACCAUCACCGCAGUGACCAAAGGUUCAACACAGUUUAAGCAUCAAGUUGAGUAGAGAGUAUUACUUGUUUAGGCAUGUGUAUAAGAUGAGUAGAGCAGCUAAGCAUACCUAAUAUAACCUAGUCUACCCAUAUACAUAACCCCAGGUGAACAAGGAAUAGUAAGUAAAGCUAGUUAGGUCCUUAGGGUUUGCAUUCAUUGGACACAUGCAUGGAAAGUAAAUGACAUUAAUGAGUAGGUUCAAAAUGAUCAAACGGUGUCUGCACUUGCCUUGAUCGUAGUCGGGUUGCUCAAACUCAGCGGGAUCCUGAUCCUCUUCCUUCACAAGCGUCUCGUUGGCUAUACGCGACAAUCAUCACACAUAGGAGCAAUACAUGCAAGCAAACAAGCUUAAUCAGAAACAGUACACCAAAGCAUUCGAAAAUAGAAAGCAACUGCACUACUGUAUUCUACUCGACGAGACGAAACUACAGCGACCAGAAUCACCUAAAUCAGAGUUACGACACAAAAGUUAUGACUAAAACAAGUUGGAUGGCAAAUCUGUCGAUUAGCUGAACUAUUUUUGUAUUUAAAACUAACUAAAACUGAAUUAAAACGAGAUUUGGAUUAAUUCUGUAAAAACCGACGGCUAGAAGGGCCUAACUGCAAAGCCAGGGGCAUAAAUUAAAUAAAAAUAUUACUAAAGCGGAGUGCGGGUUAAUUUUAAAUAAACGCGAGGGCCUUUUUGCAAAAUGGCCCGGGUCUUUUUUCAAAUUUUUGGAGUGUUAUAUCAUCGUUCUGGUGUUGGUGAUCACUGAAGACUCUGGGUCAUCUAGCUCCUCGAUGGUGAAAUCAUCGGGCUCGGCAGGGUCCGCCGUAGACCAUGGCAGGGUCCGCCGUAGACCAUGCCGACGCAACUGCUUCGUCGAAGACGACGUCGCGGCUGAUGUGGACACGUCACGUCGUGGGAUCGUAGACCCGGUAGGCCUUGGACCCUGGAUCGUAGUGUUAUAUCAAGCUUCUUCUGGUGCGGUGUGGUCACCUUCGUGUGGGGGAUGCACCCGAACGUCCUCAGGUGUUGGACGGCCGGCGUGUGCCCGUUCCAGAGCUCGUAGGGAGUGCGUCCACCAAUCGCCUUGCAGGAGGACCUGUUCAGCAAAUAAACCGCCGUCGACACUACCUCUCCCCAGAACACAGCAGGGAGAGACUUGGCCUUCAUCAUGCUCCUGGCUGUGCCCACCACAGUUUGGUUGUGGCGCUCGACGACACCGUUUUGCUGCGGCGUGUAUGGUGCCGUGAGCUGCUGGCGAACUCCGAGUUGGGAGAAGUAGUCGACGAAGUCAGCCGCGGUGAACUCUCCUCCACGAUCAGUGCGCAGCAUGAGCAGCUUCUUGCCACUCUUGCGUUCUGCCGCGGCCUGAAUGUUCUUGAUGGCGGUGGCCGUGGCGUCCUUGGACGGCAGUAGGGAGAUCCACACGAAGCAUGAAUAAUCAUCCACAAGCAGGAGGAAGUACUUGUUACCGCUUGGGGUCGCCGGUGUGAUGGGGCCGCAGAUGUCUCCAUGGAGGAGCUGCAGCGGCUCGGUAGAGCGCCACAGCGUCUUCUGCGGGAACGGCGUCCUUCUCUGCUUGCCGGCGAGGCAGGCCUCGCAGACCUGCUGCACUUGGUAGAUGACGGGCAGUCCGCGCACCAGGUCCUCCCGCCCCAUCUUGCGUAGGGCAGCAAAGUGGAUGUGGCCGAAGCGUUGGUGCCACCUCUAGGCGUCGUCGUCCGUGCGAGCCGCAAGGCACACCGGACGCGCGAUGGUGACCUCGAGCGUGUAGAGGCAGCUCGGACUCCGCGGUGUCUUGGUGAGAAGCCGCUGGUCUUCAUCGCGCACACCCUCAUCACGCCAUGCUUCACCAGCACCUCGUACCCGCCUUCGUCUAACUGCCCGACGAAGAUGAUGUUGGCGGUGAGUCGAGGCAGGAAGUAGACGUUGGCGAGCGCUCGGUGCUCCCCGUUCUUGCAGUGGAAGAGCACCGUGCCAGAGCCUUCAAUUCGGGCGACAGAUCCAUCCCCAAAGCGGACGGAACCUGUCACCCUGGUGUCGAGGUCGGCGAAGGCGGCGCGGGAUCCGGACAUGUGAUUGGAUGCGCCGGUGUCCAGGAUCCAGUGAGUCGAGUCACGGUCGGGGUCGUCGUCGAGCUUGGCGUGAACCUUCUUCUCCAGGACGAAGAGCUCGGGGACCGGGACCGAUGGCAGCGGUGCCGAUUUGGUGAGGAUUGGGGACGCCGAAUCCUCAUGUGCCGAGCCGACAGCCAGCAUAAGCGUGGCCUCCUCUUCCUCUUGGGCCACAUGGGCCUGCUGGGCUGCAUUUCCCUUCUCCUUUUUGCUGCGACAGUCACGGGCCCAGUGGCCCUUCUUGCCACAGCGAGGACAGGGGUCGUCCGGCGGCGGACGUGAGCUUCUUGAGUCACCGCCGGCGCCACGUCCACGACCGCGGCUGCGGCCUUUACCGCGCCCGCCAGAGCCUGAGCCACUGUGGCCCGACCCUGUCAACUUCUUGUACUUCUCAACCCAUUCCUCCUCGGUGAGGAGCAGCUUGCCACUGGCGGUGUGCUGAGCAGCUGGCUCGACGUCGUCGGCUGCCUUGAGCCUCCCUGUGAUCUCUUCGAUUGACAAGGUUGAAAUAUCGAGCAAGGUUUCGAUGGACACUACCAGUUGCUUGUAGCGGGAGCGGGCGAUGCGCAGGUACUUCCUCACGACCUUGGCUUCGUCCUCUGGAUCGCCGAGCGUGGUGAGACGCUAGACGAUGCUGGUCAGGCGCAGUGCGAACUCCUCAAUCGUGCAAUGCCUUCAUACUCCGCGCGGAGGUUCUGCGCGGUUGCAAUCCGCACACGGUCGUCGCCGAUGCGGAGAGUCUUAAUAGCCUCCCAAGCGUCCUUGGCGGUUUCCUUCGUCGUGAGCACGGGCACCAUGUCGCCUGGGACGGCGGAGCAGAUCGCGUCGAGGGCGCCCCGAUCUUGGUCGAAGUCGACGUCGUCGUCCUUGAUGGCGUCCCAGAGGCGGCGCGCCUGCAGCUUCAGCUUCAUGCGGAGGGACCACUCGUGGUAGUUGGUCCGCGUCAGCUGCGGCCACCGCCUCCUUCGCGAACGAUCUGCUCGAUGACGACUUCCCGGGUGCGCCGUGCGUCGCGGGUGCGUGAACGCCGCGCUGGAGACUUGCUCGGCGUGCGCGGCGACUUGUUGGCGGGCUUGCCACCGGACCCGUCGCCUUUCUCCUUCCCAGCCGGGGAACGGCCGCGAGUUGUCAUCGGAGACGACAUGGCGAACGACGGAAAUCCUCGCGCCUAGCUCCCAUGCCACUUGUCAGAAACCAAACGGCGAUGAGCGCCGACGGCGAGCGCACGAGCAGCGGUGAGGAAACGCACACGAACACUUGGACACCGUAGGUUUUGGUGCUGCGAAAAAACGAGCAGCGUUUUCUGUUUUGAUUGCGGUAAAUAAAUAAAGCAGUAAGGCAUCCAGCCACGGCGUCCACGCAGCACAUUGUGCGCGUCCAUCCCCAUGCACCACUAUCAUCGGAGCCGUGGCUGCAUGUCGCGAGUCAUGGCGAGCUAAUCUCGGCUUGCUCUCCUAGGCGCACGGCGACCACAGGUUAGUGCUGAGAAACAUGCAGCUAACUAAGUCAAGGCGCAAGGCUUAUCUAACACUUGCUUUAUUCAAAAUGGGCAAUCGAAAUAAUUUCAUGCCACUACUAAUAGAGUAUGGACUCUGAACUGCAAGCAUAUAUGAUGGUUCAGCUAUCAGCAGACUCACUUUUACAGCUAAUAUGUAGCAAAGGUACAAAGUACUGACGAAGUAGAAGUAAUAUCGUCAAUCAGUAUUCACUCACGUUUUUGGCUUGAUGACACUGGAUGCGGCUUUGUUCGUGGAGAUUCGCAAGUCAAUUGUUCUGUGGUCCAAGCGUGUGUCCAGGCCAACAUGAAUGUGCUUCUUUUCAUAAUCUCCAAGCUCUGCCUUGCCACGUCUGGGCAAACAUAUCAAAUAAAUGGAAAUCUGAGAAAAUUGAGGGAUGAGAGGGGGAUGACUUGGUUUGGGGAUUCCUGAUUCAACUUUGGUCAGGACAACAGCUGUGCGCAGGAACUACAUCGUCGCAGAGAGAGCCGAGCUGUGUGUCCCAGCGAUCACAAGGUAUUAUGGGUAUUAUGCUUGAAAAUGAAUGAAGGGAGCAUCGAGAUAGUAUUAGUUAUAUGCACUAAAUUUAUCCAUUAAGCUCUAAUAUGUUAUGAUGUCUCUUAAGAUUGUAACUUGUUUAGGAGCAUAGGGUUGAUGCACUAGCAGUAAAAGAUAAUGAUCAAUAUCUACUUGACCAAUUUCAGAAGUAGUGGGCCUCUAGUACAGAACACACAUGGAGUGUGAUUGGAUUGGAACAUCCUCUUCUCAUAAUACAGAACAGUUUGGGUGCAUAUAUGUUGAACGAGGGAGCAAAAUUUGAAUUGAGCAGUUGUACAAUGACAUAAAUCAUGUAUGCAAAAGAAAAAGCAAGAAAACGAGGGGUGACUAGUGGGACAAGUCCCUGAGAAGGACCAAAGUGUCCUUUACAGGUCGUCCUUUUCCCAUCCACAUAUAUAGAUUUCACAACCCAUAUAUUCCCUGCUACCAGCACCUUCGAGAUGUGAUCCGACGGACCUACAACAAUGCCAGCAUUGUUGCUUUUUUGGCAGGCUUCGGUAUAUCCAGGCAUAAAAAUACCCAAGGCUCAUAUUUGCUCCUUUAUAUUCUUCCUCCCACACCUCUCCUACAAACUGCUCUAUCUCUUCUCUUGUCCAUUGACAACAUUAUUCAGGGUUAGAAGGUGAACUUCAUCCUUCUCUUUUGCUUUAUUGUCUCCAUACUUGUGUUCUAACCCUUGCAUUUACCGACAUUAUUGGCUUUAGUUUUCUAGUUUCAUAAGCGUUUUAGCGAUGUUUGUAAGCUAUGCAUCAUUGACAAAGGGCCAUAUUUGCACGCUUUCUGACUCUCUCUUGAAUAUUGUUUCCCAAUACAUGUUCUUUAAAUUUGCAGAUGGCAAUACUGGUCAUCACCAUGGUGGACCUGCAGUGCUGCCGCUGCAGAGCCAAGAUCACCAAAAUCCUGGAAUGCCUCAAAGGUACAUUUAUGCUAUGCAAAAAGUUGGGAAAGGUCCAACCUUCUUUUGAUUUUGGAAGCAGAGUAAAAGUAUUUAGAGUCAUUAUAUAUCAUAUUAAGAGCAAUUUCUUACAGAAGAAUGAUUAAUUUUACAUAUGUGUAUGAGUAUACAUAGACAAUCAUUUUGUGUUAAAGCAAAAAGAAACAGUUAAAUUCCACAGUGGAAAAUUAACUUAACUGGCAACACAAAAUUAAUCCUGAUAAAGGUUUGUAAAAUCAUGUGAAACUCAACAUGGUCCAGUCUGAAAUCAGAAAAGUUCUGACAAACACCAUGUAGGCAUGCAUAUGCAGGGCAGCAUUUUUACAGAACAACCGGUUAAGUAACCAUGAUUAAGAGUGGCACAAUUGGAUUAUAUCGCUGGAUUAUAUAUAUUCUGUUCUAUAAGACUGUAUGCGCAUCAAAUAAACUCAUCAAUUAUAUAAUUUUGUAAUGCCGCAGAGGAGUUCUGCAUUGAGAAGAUUGAGUUCGAGGACAAGGUCAACAAGGUGAUUGUACGCGGGAAGUUUGAUGGCGAGAAGCUCAAGACGGUGGUAUUAUGCAAGGCAGGCAAGAUCGUCAAGGAGAUAGCCGUCGUCGAAAAGUGGCCACCCCCACCACCGCCUCCGCCUCCUCCUCCACCGGAAUGCAAGGUGGUGUCAUACCCAUACCCCUGUACCAUAUCCGUUUCUACGCUGCAAGCACCGCCACCGCCGCCACUGAAGUAGCCACGCAUAAUGGAUGAAGGGAUCCUAUUGCGCAUUUUCUAACGCUGUCUUGAACAUUUUUUCCCGAUACAUGUUCUUUAAAUUUGCAGGCGGCAAUACUGGUCAUAACCAUGGUCGAUCUGUGCUGCGCCUGCAGAACCAAGAUCACCAAAAUCCUGGAAGGCCUCAAAGGUACAUUUACUAUGCAAAAAAGUUGGGAAAGGUCCAACCUUUUUUUUUUUUGGAAGCGGAGUAAAAGGAUGGGGAGUAAUUAUAGAUCUUAUUACGAGCAAUUUCUUACAGAACAAUGAUUGUCCAUAUGUGUAUGAGUAUAGACAAUCAUUUCGUGUUAAAGCAAAAAAGAAACAGUUAAAUUCCACAGUGGAAAAUUAACUUAACUUGUAGCCGGAUGAAGGUAUCUAAAAUCCUGUGAAAUUCCAUAUGUCCAGUCUGAAAUCUGGAAUGUUCUGACAAACACCAUGUAGGCAUGCAUAUGCAGGGCAGCAUUUUUACAGAAGAACCGGUUAAGUAACCAUGAUUAAGAGUGCAGCAAUUGGAUUAUAUGGCUCGAUUACAUUUAUUCUUGUCUGUACGAGUGUACCUGCAUGCAUCAAUAAACUCAUCAAUUGUUGCAGAGGAGUUUUGCAUCGAGAAGUUUGAGUUCGAGGAUAAGCUCAACAAGGUGAUUGUACGCGGGAAGUUCGAUGCCGAGAAGCUCAAGAAGACGAUAUUGUGCAAGGCUGGCCACAUCGUCAAGGAGAUAGUGCUCGUCGAAAAGUGGCCGCCGCCGCCACCACCACCUCCGUCUCCGGCUCCGCCGCCGCCGCCCAAACCGGAAUGCAAGGUGGUGCCGUAUCCGUACCCUGUACCGUAUCCGUUUCCAUCCCAGAGCUGGCCAUGCCCACCAACUCAGCCUCCAUGCCACUGCUGCAAGCCGGCACCGGAAAAACCGAAGCCACAGCCGGAAAAACCGCCAACGCCGCCGCCACAGUGCAAUUGCCACUGCUGCAAGCCGCCACCGGAAAAACCGAAGCCACCGCCACCGUGCAAUUGCCACUGCUGCAAGCCGCCACCGCCACCGGAAAAACCGAAGCCACCGGCGGAGAAACCGCCGCCCUGCAAGUGCGAGUGCUCGCACGACAAGGAUGACUGCAAGCAUCAUUGCCCACCAUGCCCGCCGUGCCCGCCGUGCCCACCAUGCCCGCCGCCGAACUACUGGCCGCCGCAGCCGUGGCCCGCAUGCCGGUGCCCGGAGCAGGACAGCCAGUGCUCCAUCAUGUGAUCCAUGGUUCCUUUCUUGCAAAUCUGCUACCUGCCGUGCGAUCAGCUAUGCUCUGCGAUCAUCGUGUGAUCAGUCACAAUAAUCCCACGCUCGUCGUGUACUUGGUUCUCGCGUCGUUCGUUGUGUCAUUUGGGUUGUGUAGUCUGUCUGUGUGUCGUGUCUUACAUGUGCAAUACUAAUGAUGUGUUUUAUUAAUUCCAUGUUACAUCUGUAAUAAUUCGUUGGGUAACUACUAGUCAUUUUCUUUUUGUAUGACGUGUGCUGUAAAGAGAUGCCUACUGGUACUAGUCGAUCAUGGUAAUGAUUUCUAGCAGAUGAAAUUCACAGAAUGCUGUUUUGUGGUUAGAUUCAUUACUACAGAAAAUCUUAACGACAACCUUUUAUUUUGGCCUUUGGAGGCGGAGCCCGCCUCGGUUAAUUCUGGGCGGGCUGCCGGCCCAGCAACUGCCUCGGUUAAUAGGUUAACUAAGACGGUCACUAUAACAUAAUCGCCAUGGUUGGUCACCAGUUAACCGUGACGGCUGGCGUAGAGCAAUCGCCACGGUUAAUUGAUUAACCGAGAUGGUUGUGCUAAAGCAACCGUGUCGCGCGGUUAAAGCCACGAUUAACUAUGACCUUUGAUCCGAGACGGUUGGCUUGCCCGACUCGAUUGGUUAAGUGUUUUUGCCCGCGGUUAAAAAUAGUGUAGUAGCGAUUACUCCGGGCAUGACAUGAUGAAGAAAUCGCAGGUCAACAUCAGUGAGAAACAAGUGGAGUUCAGGAAGCUUUGGAAUGCAUGCAUGGUAUGUGCAUCUGAUCGGAUGGAUGAUAAUGGUUUAGGCCCUGUUUAGUUUCCCAACCAAAAUUUUUUCAUCCAUCCCAUCGAAUCUUUGAACACAUGCAUGGAAUAUUAAAUGUACAUAAAAAAUAAACUAAUUACACAGUUUGGUUGAAAAUCACGAGACAAAUCUUUUAAGCCUAGUUACUCCAUGAUUAGCCUUAAGUGCUACAGUAACCCACAUGUGCUAAUAACAGAUUAAAUAUACUUAAUAGAUUUGUCUUGCAGUUUCCUGACGAGGUAUGUAAUUUGUUUUUUUUAUUAGUUUCUAAAAACCCCUUUCGACAUCCUUCCGACACAUCCGAUGUCAAAAAAAAAAUUCAUCAGCAACGCCUAGAGGUGGCUUACGUCGCAUGUGCCCAGCGGGCAGCAACAUGCCAAACUAAGAAGGCUCGCAGAGAUACCCUAUCUUUAGGGUGGUCCUAUAGAAGACCAAGACUGCUACGUGGACAUAUCUCACAGUGGUGAAAGGAAAUUCAUGUUUUUUGGUACGCAUAUAAGAAUUGAGCAUAAUGCUCCUUAAUCACCUCCCAUCUCUCAGAUUGAAGGCCUACCCAACAAGCCUAUGGAAAAUCUUCGCAGCUCUUUCGUUUUCAGGUUAGGAAGAGGAACGGGAUUAAAAGAGUGAUACAGGAUACAGUGAAGAUGAUGCAGUUUUGGCACGCACUUUUCAAAGCACAGAAGCUACAUGCCUACGCACUACCAGAAACGCGAAAUUUGUCAAGUGUAGUCAUUUUGCCAAGCGCUAAAAAUCGGACACCCGGCAAAUUGCCGAGUGUUGCCCUGGGUAAAAUAAGAUACUUGGCAAACUAACCCUUUGCGAAGUGUCAAACACUUGGCAAAGUGGGCAAAAUGGACCUUUUCCUAGUGUCGACACUCGGCGAAACAAGACACUCUGUAAACUGAUACUUUGCCUAGUGUCAGCCACCCAGUAAAGUUUUGGACUCGAUAAACCACGGUAGCAGCUGACGAACAUCAACUAGCGCUUCGGCUUUGCCGAGUGUCACCUUGUGGACACUCGGCAUAGACUCGUUUUGCCAAGUAUUAUAGCUUGGCCUAGUGUCAAACUCGUGACACUCAGCAAACUAAUAAUUUUUUUCACUAUUGACCUCUAAAAUUGUUCUGUAGUCCUCCUACAGUAACUUAAACUAUAAAUUUAAAUUUGGCACGUUUCUAGAAAUGUUUGCUAUAUUUAGUCAAUUUAUUUCAUUUAAUUGAUUUUUUUGGAUAAUUCAAAUUUGAACUGGAAGUCACUCAAAUAAUGGGAAAAAUGAAUGAAAAAAAUGAUAUUCUUGUUAUUGAGACUAAGUUAAGGCCGUAUCCAUGAACAUAGCACCAAAUUCAAACAUCUUGUUCACGGAACAUGACCUCAAACUUGUGGGCGAGUUGGUUUCAAAUUCUAUAAAAAGCAAAUAAAGUCUGAAAAUCAUAAAACUUGUCGACAUGUCAUGAUAUCGUAUAUGGAAGUUGUGAUAAAAAUUUGAUAAGGUUUCGCGGAAGUUGUGACGUACGAUGCUUACAAACCAAGAUAUCUUCACAUAUGAUAUGACCACAUCGCAAAAUUGAUUUACUGAGACGGUCAUUUUAUUUACAAAGGUGAUUGGAAAAUGCCCGCAUCCGAAAACAGAUUUGAGGUGGUUGUUUUGAGACAACUAUCUCAAAAAGUGAUAUAUUUCCAGAGGUGGUCAUCUUAAGGCGUCCGGGCAGGCACACUAUAAGGCUCGCCUCUGAAAAUACUAGCCCUGCUCCAAGCAUAAGUAAGGCCCAUAUCUAUCCUUCUACCAGGCUCGUAUAUAAGAAAACUUAGAAUUUCUUGUCUUCUCAGUUCAUUUCUCUCCCCACACACUUGAAGCCGAUGGCGCCUCUCCCCCACUCUCCCACAUCCUUAUCCCACCACAGCUGGCACCCCCUUCCCCUCCCUCCCGAGCCCGCCCCUCUCCCUUCCUCUUGGGCUCUAAACGUUGGCGCAGAGCUGGAUCCGGUGGGGGUAGCGCAAGGAGGCCGGAUCUAGUGGGGGCCCUCGACGGCCCUGCAAGGAGGCUAGAUUCAAUGGGUGGUGACACAUGGAGGCUGGAUCCAGUGGGUGGUAGAUUAGGAAUGGGGAUCCAUGCUACCACCACCUCCACUUCCACCUCGGACGUCAUCGGGAAGGCAACGACUCCUCCCAGUGGAUCCACGCCCUUCCCCACAACAGAGGCGCGCAGACAGCUCCUCCCCAUGAAUCCGGUGAAUUUGCUCCCCUUCCCCACCAUGACGACACGCUGGUGGCUCCGCCCGGCGGAUCUGACUCGUGGGCCUAGAAUGGGCUCGUCGGCGGUUCGGAAAUGGGCUCACCAGUAGGCUCAUGGAUUUUUUUAUUGAUUUUAACCGAGGAAAGCAGGGCACCUACUUCCCUAGGUCUGCAUUAACAAAGACCUUUCGACGGGGCAUUGCUUUGCCGACGGCUGCGGGUGCUUUGCCUGCCUUAGUUAACCCAAAAAGCUCACCUCUAGAAAGAUUCUUGUAUAGUAGGGUAGUUUUUGUAUUACUAAUAAUGCAAUGAAGCCAUUUAAUAGUAUAUGUAUAAGUAACUUUUAGUACUAUUUUAAAAUUAUUAAUGAUACAUAAAGGUUCAAUUAGUUUUAGUAUUUUUCUAAUUUAUUUUAUUUAUUUAUUGAUGUAAAUUAUUUUAUAUAAAUUUAUAAUUUCUUGAUAAUUAUUUAUAUAAAUAUAAUAUUGAUUUAUUAAUCAAUAUAUUUAGUUAUUAAAUAAUUAUUUAUAACUAUAUUAGUUUUAUGUGCUUUCCUUGUCUGUGUUCUAUACACGAAUGCUUUAAUCUCUAAUUGUGUGAUAAUUUUGUAAUUCUUGUACUAUUGAUACAGUAAAAUGGCUAUUUAUUUUCUACCAUUUUUAUUUGAAUUUCUUCACUUGAGAUAUUAUUCAAUAUUAUCCACUAUAAUUUAGUUUACUUUGAUAUGGAAAUUGUUAGAAGUGUACUUUCAUUUAGUUCACUUUGGUACUUAAUAGUAACUUUUAUGCAUGCAUGUUAAAUUUAAUAAUAUACAUUUUGAGUUGACUGAAGUAAAUAUCCAAAUAGAAAUUUAAAUCCAAGACAUCCCUUUUUUAUUCGUAUUUGAAAAUAUCUGAAUUUGUAUUUGUAUUCAAAUUAAAAUAUAGUAAGAAGUGAUAUCCGAGUCCGAUUCCAUGCAAAUCCUAUCCAUUUCUAUCCUUACCAGAGCCUAAAUGUCGUGGAUGUAGCUUCUAUUGUAAUGGUUAUUCAUGGGUACGUCUAGAAUACACUUUGAAUUUGUGAUGUAAGCACAAUUAGGUGUUUUGUGAUAAAGAAAAACUUAUUCUAAAAACAUACAAAGAAAAUUGAUAUGUAUCUUCUACGUGUUAGCAUAAAGUCCCUCUUUUAACUCAAAUCUCGGAACACAAACGUUCAUCCCUAUGGACACACAUGCACAUGAGUCAACAGCUAUUAUUUUCUUAGAAAACAAAUCAUUAUUUCCUUUGUAAUCAUAUACCCCAGCUAAAAUUUGAAAGUACUUUCAUGUUAUCUCAAACAAAAUGGGUCUAAAUAAGUUUAGUUACAAUCUAUAUAUCUAAUAUUAAAAAACCAAAACUUCUUCUCAUUUUUUGAUGGGUAUGGGCAUCCCUAACUAAUUCUGUGCAUGUUGAAAAGUGUCUCUAUUCAUGUAUCUAUAAUAACCAUCUUGUUUUAUAUGACACAUAUGCCGGGAAGAAUCCUAAUCUUAAUUCAAAUAUAUCUCUCGGAAUUAGAGCAACCUGAAUAGAAAUCCUAAUUCAAAUCUAUAUUUAUAAUAUUACUAGUAAAACAUGUCUGUGCAUUGAAAUAGGAGAAAUUAAUUAAACUUUUAUGAAAAAUGACAAGUGCUCUGGAGGAUAUCCCAGCAAUGGAGCGCCGCCUCAGACCUUACAAGCGGCAUGGGAGCCACAUGACGAAGAGGGGUGGGAGUCGAUAGCCAGGGGCACCCUAGCUGCGGACACAGCGGUGUGGGCGCCCCGAACGGCCUGAAGGCGUGGUCCCAUCUAAUGUCCUCCACGGACACAGCCGGUUCGCUUGUCUUCACAAUAUUUUUCUCUCACAACAAAACAGCGAACAAUAUUUUUUAUAAUUUCUUGAUUCAAUUCUUUCUCUAAUUUUUUCGGUCUAUUCAUGUAUGGAUGGAGAACAAACUGUUUUUUGUUGACUUUUGGUGAUUGUUAUGGUUGACAGAAGAAACAACAAAUUUAUUGAUUUGAUUUUUUAAGUUGUUGCUUUCUAAAGUUAGUUUGAUUUUGGUUAGGAUAUGGAUCGAUGUGUUCAUUUUGAUUUAGACCCCGUUUGGUUCUCCUUGCUAAAUUUUAGCUACUUAAAAUUAUUUUAGCUACUCUUGGGGGACUAGUGAGACUAAACUAUUUAGCCUUUACAUCCAAACAUGGCUCUCGUCGCCCUUCGCCGAGCCCUCCUCUGCCUCCCGUGAUGGCCUCGGAAAUCCCCCUUAGCAGCCAUGGAAGGCCUCUCCGACCUCCCCUUUAACCACGGUGUGAACUUCGCCGAGCUCGUCGCCCAACGUUUUGGCCGAUCGGUGAGCCCAGUCUCAUCCCACCAUUCCCCUUUCCACCUAGUGGCAAGUUUUGGUCGCUCUGCUGUUCGUCUCAAUGUUGAUUCUGUGAGUAUGAUGCUGCAAGCUUGCCUUGGAGGCAAUGCCAAAGAUUACAAUGUUUUUCACCUUUCGGGUUGGAUGUUUAAAUUCUCUGUCUCCUGCAAAGAUGUUGGUUUCAUGAUCUAUAAGUUAAAAAGCUUCUCUUGCAAACCAUUUCGCAUCUUCUUCCAUCUUUAUGGUGAGGGAGGACCAAAUUGGCGUAGAGAUUAUGAGCUCUGGCACGAGGAACAAGAAGCCGAAUGGCACAUUGUUGGCCCCAAAUCCAAAAAAAGCUACUCUGAUGUUGUUAGAUCAAGACCUAACAAAUCAGUGUUUCUUAGGCUCAAUUACCCCAGCAACUAUGCUUCCCGUUUCAUUGGUCCCCCAUGUUGAUGGUCCUUAAGUAUCAAAUUUAAUUAUCAAAUAAACAAAGAAAAGGAUCCAAAUGAAAUCAACAUCUAGACUUAGGGUUUUAUCUGACAGAAUUCCACGAGUUUUGGUGUUUGUCUAUUUCUGCAGGGGGUUAUCAGGAAAUAAGGAAGAAAGGCCCACACGUCGGGAUUACAAAGAGAUAUUAAUGUGCCGCGCAAUUAUCUUACAUCUAGAAGACUCCAGAAGCCACGGGAAGGAAGCGGAGGCCGAACAGGGCCAGGCACUGGGCGCCCGCCCAGUUGCCCUGGGCACCUGCCCCCUGUUGGACUCCAAUCAGGACUCUCUUUCGGGAUUAAUCUCCACCGACCUAAAGGAUCAAUCUAAACCAUACAAUCAAUGUCGGUUUGAUCUAAUGGCCCAUAUUCACUUGAAGAGACUAUAAAACCAGACCCCCUGGCCCCUGGAGGAGAGAGUCUCUCAACCCUAAUUCAUUAUUCCUCAAGGGAGAAGAAGCCCCUGAUCAAGAUUAGAGCCACCACAUCAAUUAGAUAUCUAGAUUAGCAUAGCUACAUAGGAUUAGAACCAGAAGGAGUCAAUCUUCGAUUGGUUUCCGGAUCUGUCAGGAGGAUUCUUGGUAAUUCUCUAAUUGUGCUUCUAAUUAUCUUUGUUCUACAAUAUUAUGAAUAUGACUUUGUUCUACUUCAAUAUAUUGCUUAUGACUUUACUCUAUUUGCUUAUAUUCAAAAUUAUAUUGUUCUUAGUUUAUCAUAGUUAUGUACUUGGCUUAGUUAGAUUGGAUCUAUAUACAUGCUUAGGAUCGUAUAGCGUUUAUCCAUCGGAUCCAUGGGUAAAUGAUAGAUAUUGUGUAGGCGUGGUGCUUAUACCGUAUUUAUCUGCGAUUGUACCCAAUAUGCCAGAUCGUGGGGUGGUUCGUGAUAGUGACAGCUUCAUUGAUUCUUAUAUAGUCCCCUUCUCGUGUAUUGGGCUGGCAGAGCAACAUUAUUAAAGGGGAGUGAUUGUUAUGUUUCUCAUUUACCUUGCUAAUAUCACUAUGCAUGGGCGUAGUCUUGUCUCACAAUGAUUGCUAAGUAUGCUUGCACUAACUAUGAUAAUGCUAAACUAUAUAGUUGAGAAUAACUUAGGAAAUAUUCUUGUAGUUCGUUCUAAUUCCAUGCUAAUGACUUUCUAGAGUAUCUAAUUGAGGUGCUUAUCAUAUUUAUUAUGUGGCUAAGUUAUGCUGAUCAGAUUAAUUAUCUUUGUCACUAUUCAUUACUUCAUAUAUCUUUUAUGUGACACUUACCCCUGUAUGAAAGAAUUAGAUACAAUGUUCUCAAUUAUACAUGCAAUGAUAGAUACUCAAUCUCAUAUUAUAUUCUGUAAUCAAUAUUGAUGAUUGCUAGUCCCUUCCCAGUGGUAAAAAUACAAAUAACGAUACCUGGAAUACUUCCCGGUUAAAAUGCUACAUCGGUAUUAAUUUGUGCGCUUGCAGAUCCCAUUCAUUAUUUAUUUAGAAGAGCAAUUGCAUAUUUUAAUACCGCGUCUCUCAUGUCAUGCUGGGGAUGACAACUUGGCUUAAGUGGUAUGAGGGAUAGGUUUAGCAUUUUUGGCACCGUUACUAGAAUUAGAAAACUAAGUCUACUUUUGGUAAUGAUGUUAAGAAUACCCAACAAGCAUUUUUGGCGCCGUUGCCGGGGAAGGUUGAUUAGUAAUCAGGAAUGGAUAUAGAUUUUGAGUUAUCAUUCGCAUCACUAAUGUGAUUGAGCUUAUCGAUUCUCUCAUACAGUUUUACCCCGAUAUUUUUCUAUUUUUAUCUUAUGCAGGGGAAUGUAUGAAUAGAAGACAUCUUCUAGGAAAUUUUGUUGACAAUCCCGAAGCAUUAUUCAGAAAAACUAGAGCCAAGCUCAAGAGGAGAUCAUCAACACUUCAGCAAGAAGCUUCAUCCAAUCAAGAAGAUCACCGGAACUUGUCUUCAGAGUUCAAAGCCAUGGCGAACAAAUCAAUUCGCGAGUUCUCAGCUCCCACUACGGACAACAUCCGUACUGGACCUGCUGCAGAGAUCGAUGGCAACUUUGAGCUAAAGCCUGGACUUAUCAACAUGGUGCAAUCCAACCAGUUCUGUGGGAAGGCACACGAAGAUGCUAGUGCUCAUCUCCAACAUUUCCUAGAGAUUUGCAGCACAUUUACCAUAUCAGGAGUCCCCAGAGAUGCUAUACUACUUCGCCUCUUCCCAUUCUCACUAUUAGGGAGAGCGAAGCAGUGGUUUUACGCUACAAAGGAGAAGAAUACUACGUGGGCACUCUGCUCAACAAACUUCCUCGCUAAGUUCUUUUCCAUGGGCAAGACCAAUGCUCUCCGUGGGAAGAUUACAAGUUUUCAGCAACAACAUGACGAAUCUGUUCCAGAAGCAUGGGAGCGCUUUCAAGACUACAUCCUAGAAUGUCCCCAUCAUGGAAUGGAGAGUUGGCUAUUGAUGCAGACGUUUUAUCAUGGGCUCGGCAACAGUGCCCGAGAGACCAUGGAUGCUGCAACUCGUGGAGCAUUCUUAUCACUUACCAUACCGCAAGUCACAGCUCUUGUGGAGAAGAUGGCAUCCAACCAAAGCUGGAAUGAAGAGAGGACCUAGACACGCAAGAGAGGUGGAGGUAUGCAUCAGCUCAAGGAGGUAGACAUGCUGUCUGCUAAGCUAGACCUGCUCAUGAAGAAGCUCGAUGAUAGAGCUGGAGAUAAGAAAGAAGUUAUGCACAUCUACGACUCUCACAAGACUUGUGAGGAGUGUGGAGAUACUGGACACUCAGGCAACCACUGUACUGAGAUGAUUGAGGAUGUGAACUACAUCAACAACAACAACAACUACUACUACAACCGUCCUCAACAAAAUCAAGGUUGGAAUCAACGGAGGCCUAACUACUCAGGUAAUUAUCAAGGUAACAAUUCUUACAACAAUAAUAAUAAUUUUCCACCUCUGAGAGAGUUAGUGUCUAAUCAAGGAAAGCUAAUGGAUAACCUAUCUAGGAAAUUGGCAUCUAAUGAUAAAAUGCUAGAAAAUAUAAAUAAUAGAAUGGAUAAUUUCUCUACUGCCAUCAAGAAUCAAAUUAGCUUUAAUAAAAUGAUUGAAUCCCAGUUAAAUCAAAUACCUGCUGCUGUUCCUACUACUAACCCCGGUAUACCAUCACAACCAGAAGGAUUAGAAUCUGCAAAUCUUGUAGACAUGUUUGAUGCAGGUAAUAAUUGGAGUAACCCCGUCACUGCAGUUACUACUGACCUUCUGCCGGUCAAGAGAGGUGAUCCAGGAAGCCCCGUCAUCCCGAUCGCCAUCGGCAUGGUGGACGUCCCAGAAGCACUCUGCGACUUUGGCUCUAGUGUCAACAUUAUACCCAGGGUACUCUAUGAAAAAUUCUUUACAUAUCCUUUAUUAGAAACAACCAUGUGUUUGCAGUUUGCAGAUCAAGCGUUAAGUUUUCCAAAAGAAAUAUUGAAGAACCUUUGUGUCCGAGUUGGUACCUUGUAUGCCCCAGCAGACUUCGUGGUGAUAGAGACCGGUAAUGAUGAGAGAGCACCCAUCAUCUUAGGGAGGCCAUUCUUAAACACCUCGGGAGCUGUCAUCUAUGCUAGUGCUGCCAAGAUCAGUUUCUACAUCAAGGGAAGAAAGGAGACAUUUUUCUUCAAGAACAAGACUACACAAAUCCCAGAUCAAUCCAGACGUGAAUCAAGGAAGAGGACCAACAGGAGGAACAGGAACAAGCAAGUGUGGACCGAGUCAGCUAAGAUGGUCACUGCAGUUCAUGGAGGCCAAGAUCAUCAACUUAAGUCACUGUUUCUGACCAAGAAGGAUGACCCAGGAAUGCCAAGCAUCUAUUGCUCCAUAAAUGGAUACAACUUCUACAAGACAACUUGUGACACCGGAUCGGGCGUCAACAUAAUGGCCGCAGUCACCUAUCGGCUCUUGUUCGGAACGAUGCCCCUGAAACCAACAUACAUUCAGCUCCAGAUGGCAGAUCAGACGUUUCGAGAUGUUAAAGGAAUAGUAACUGAUGUCCCAGUCAAAGUAGACGAUCAUUUUGUCUACACAGACUUUCAGGUUAUUGAUAUGGGAGAAGACGAGUACGAUCCAACCAUCAUCCUUGGAAGACCGUUCCUCAGCACCGUUAAAGCAAUCAUCUACAUUGGAACCGGAGAAGUCCAUAUGCACUUCCCCUCAGAGAAGGUACGUCGCUAUUUUACUGACCCUAACUAUAUCGUUGAAGAAUCUAAGCAGGUCAGAAAGCGACGGAACCGCAACCAGAGGAUGCAAAUUAUCAAGGACGGAUGGGCAGACUAUGAAGGAGAAGUUGUAAGGUCAGAAGACAUACAGUUUAAACAGAACUAUCCUGAGGAGACUGAAGCACCAAGUCAGGUGUGGAGAGAGAAGAUAACCAUACAUGAAGAGGAGGCGCCGCCGGAAGUGCCGACUACGCCACCCAACGAAUCCCAGGAUAAUUAAGAAAAUGGAGAGUCCCGUUCGGAGGACUUAAAAACACCGAACGCCCUGCCAAGAGGUAAACUUGGUAGUUAUCCUUUCCCUUUCGAUUGUUUUAAAUAGUUUACUUAAUUAGUUAUAAUCAUACUAUCCUAAAAAGAAAAUAAAAAUGUUAAAACAGUAAGCCCCAUGUGAGUAUACAAGUGGCAUGAAACCCAUAAGUACAUUCACUGUGGUGGCAUAAAAAUAAAAUAAAUAUUUCUUUUCUGCUUUAUAAAAUGAAAAUAUAAAAAAUAGGGAGUAACAUUUAUUGAGGAAGCUCAACAUGAUAAAGGCUAGAUAUUUAUGCUAACACUUAAUCAGUUCCACAAAGCUUUGUUGUCUAUUUGAGCUCCAUAGAAAUCAAGAAUCAAGAAGACUAGCAGACGGAGGACAUUCUAAUCGCUGUCAGAAUGCUGCUGACUUUCAAAUACACCUCUGCCACCUGCUAGCUACAUCAAGAGAAAUUACGUUAAAAUUCAGCUUGGGGGAGAGCACCCCGAUUUAUCCUGAUAAGUAUUUCUAUCUAUCUUUACACUUAUAUUAUAUUAGAAUAUAAAUAUACAUAAACUAGGAAAAACCAAAUAAAGAUUUUGUGCCUAUAUAAAUAUAUGUCUUUCUCUUAGUGUGUUUAAUAAAUAAAUAAAGUGGCUAUGCUAAUCUGAAUCUUAAUAAUAAAACUCUAGUAUGGAUAUGAUGAAUAGUUGCUCUGCCUAAUUUGCAAAUUUGAAGUUCUCUCAAGUUUAGACAUAACUGUUAUAAUUUAAAGCUUGCUCUAAACCUAAACUUGUGGGAUGAAAACUUGAUCUAAAGUCUAAGUUGUUAACGGAUAUGAUAUGGGAAGGUUGAGCUGCUGUUUAUCUGUUCCUAGAGAUGCUAGAAUUCUAGAGAAUUUUAUCUUUGAAAAUCUUUAACACAUGAUGAGUUCCUGUAUGAUGAGAGUUUAAAUUCCUACCACAGCCAUAUAUACAUGCUUGCUAGACUUUGAGCCACACAUUUACUUUUUACUGCUUAUGAGCAUUGAGUGUGGUCAAGCUGUGUAGACCCUUAGGAGCUUGUCAUGUGGUUAAAUCAAGAUUCACUUGCAUGUUCACUCAUAUAUGCUACUUCUACUCCGGAAGUACCAUCCACAUAUAUCCACUCAUUUCCAUCUCCAGAACCACCAAAAAAUAUUCUACUCCUAAUCCGGGAGAGAAUAGCCAAAAAUAUUUCUGUUUUUCCCCUGUGAAAUAAAUGCUCAAGUUAUCUUGUUACUACCACUUGCUAUAUUAUCUCAUGAGAUGAGUGCUCUAAAAAAAAGAGAGAAAAAAGACACGAGGAAAUAAAAAGGGGCAAGUGCCCGGAACCUCGAAAGAAAAGAAAGAGUGAGACGAGAGGUAAAAAUGGACAAGUGUCCGACAGUAGAAUUAGGGAUACAAGAUACCCACCUGAGAGGAAAGAAAAAGAAAAUAAGAGCAUCUCAUUCUCCUCACAAAAUUUCAAAAAGCAAGAAAGGUAUGUAUCCCCUCAAAGAGCAAAAGUAGAAUUAGGCUUUCACCAUUGUUAUCACCAUCAUCACCAUACACCAUUCAUUCGCCACACAUGCACAUCUUGAUUUGACUUAUUGAUUUGUUUCUAUGGAUCCAUGGUUUGACUAUACAAUAAAUGUCUUGUAAGUAUGUAUACUUUAUCUCCCACCUAUGAGCUCCAGAUAUUAAAAGCCUUAUUAGAGUAGGGUGAGAGAGAACGCAAAUGUAUGCCUUAUACCACAAAUACCACAUAUUUUGAGAGAAGGCAUAUACCAUCACUGCCUUGGUAAGGAUCUAGAAAUACCAAAAAAGAGAGAUUUGAGAGAAUCAUACAAGGAAUCUCUGAGUUUUAUUUGAAAAUCUGCAAAAACUCCAGAGCUAUAGCUGAUCAAGAAUAAGAGACAUGGCACUUGGCUAGACUGUUCUAUCUUUUAACUACUCAAGACAGAAGUGACGGUUACAAG